rnacentral:lncRNA from 1 species
AGUACAGUAGUACCACACAAGAAAUAGUAUCAAAUUGAAUGAUAUUGUUUUCUCUUUGCUGUCUGCUUCAAAUAGUACUAAAAGCUGGGAGAGAGGUAAAUAAAGCGAAGGAGAGGUUAAUGGAAGCCAGGAUGAUUACGUGAAAGAGAGAACUAAGACAGAACAGACUGGAACUCUGGUCCUCCUGCUCUCUCUCUCUCACUAUGUGAAAUAUAAAAGACAAGCAAAGAAGCAGACAUAUUCAUUGUGGUAUGCUUGAUGGCUUACAGAGAGAGAGAGAGAGUAAUGAAAGCCAAAAGCCACGCCUCUGAAGGAGGAGAAUUGGUUUUAGAGAGUCUGUGCUCUCUUUUCUUUCACAUGCUCUUAUAAGGCCACCCUCUCUCUUCCAAGUGGGUCCAGUGCUUGGUUGGCUGUGGUGACGUGGCGUUUAAUUAUUUAAUUACCGAUUUAACAAAAAGUUGCAAAUUGCAAUUGCUACCCUACUUUUGUUUACUGUCACACUGUGUGUCUAUACUUUGUUUCUUCCGAGGUAGAGUGGUUUGUUUGUGUGGUUAAAUUUUUAUUUUUAAAUUAUUUAUAUAUAUAUUUAAAUUGUUUUGAUAUGUUAAUAUUAAGUUUGAAAAAUAAAAAAAAUAUUUUAAUAUAUUUUUUUAAAAAAUAUUUUAAAAAACAAUACUUAUUCAAUUCAGACAUUACCGAAAAUGGCAUAAGAUCCUCACUUUUUUCUUGCAUUUGCUCAAAACAAAGGAGAGGGGAUUAACUUAUUAAGGUGCAUGAUUAUGCAUACAAGAUAGGUGCCCGAUAUUAAUCCCCGAUAUAUAGUUGUUUUCCGAUUCUCAAAUUCUUAAUUAGUAUUUAAAUAUAAUUUUUUUUUCUUAUGUUUUGUCUAUCGAAGCAUUUUCUUAAUAAUUUGUAGUAGUUUUAUUUUUAAAAAACCCACAAACAAAGGGAGCAUUCUUCUUGGAAACAACUUGGAAUUAUUUUCCAUUCCUCUCUUUUUUAUAAAAAGCAAAGGGACUUUCGGUUGUUCAUGAGGGGAGGAGAAAUGGGAACGACUGCAAAGCAUGGAGACUACACACCGUCAGGACUCGCCGUCAAUCAUAACGUGAGCUCAGGCAAGAUGCGUAUCUGCACAGUCAAGCAAUGCGGGCGGCUCAUCGGAUGCUUUGACUUACAACGCCAUCCAAAAUCAAAUGAACAGCAAUAAUGCAGCCUUUUGCAUUAAAUCCAGUAAAGUUUUUUAGAUUUUCUUUUGAAAUAAAACACAAGUUUGUUCAUUUGGGUUGACUAAUGGAGGAUGGCAGUACAUUUCAUGGGAAACAGGGAAGAAGAUCGUAUGGGAAUGGAGAAAAAGAAAUAUUUAUAACAAUACGUACUUUACACCUCCUGUAUAUACAUUAAUUAAAAUGAUUACCGUGUCUUUCUCUCGUUCUCUGAGAUAAUUUGCCUUUCUUAUGGUGUAAUCACCAAGUUGCAGGAGCAUCUUUAUAUAUUAUUAUUAUUAUUACGUUUUCCACAAUUUAUAAAAACAUAACGUUUUAAUUUUAAACAUGUAUGAAUGUGUUUUGAGUGUAAAUGUUUUUUAACGAUUUUGUUUUCAAUAUUCUAAACAAAUGGUAGGAGUAUUUUCAGAGGUAUGUAUAAAGGUUUGAGUAGUUUUUUUUAAUCAAAGUAUUGAUCCAUUAAUAAAUCUUUAAACAAGUUAUGUCAAUUGAAUGUUGAUACUUUGUUAUUUUUUUUAUAAAAAAUAUAUUUUUGAUUUGUUUCGGGUGAUUUUAUUCAACCUAAAAGUAGUAUAAUCCUUAAAUGGGUUAUAUCCUUUAAAAAUCAAGAAAAUUAAUUUAUUUUUAAAACGAAUUAUAUAUAUAUAUAUGAACAUGAUUUGUGAGUUGAAAAAUCCUCUUUUGAUUUACUUUUCUAUCAUACAACAAAUCGUUAUCUUACUAACGAAAUCAAAGGCUACGACAUGUGUUUAGAUGUGUGUAUGUGUAUUUACUUGUAAAUAUCUCAUUCUUUUUAUUUUUAUUAAUGUGUGAACAUUAUUUUUUAUAUGUUAGAACAUUAUCCCAUGAGAAAACCUAGGUUUAAUCAAUAUUGUCCCAUCAAGGCCCUAUGAGUGGGAGGGGAGGUCUUUGGGUCCUUUUUUAGUAUAAUUAAAUAGAAUGGGCAAUAGUUCAAAUUGAUCACUAUCGUCUUAUUGGUUCCAACGCUCAUAUUUUAAAAGUGAGAAUUGGACCUUAUUAUAAGGUAUAUUUCUAAAUCAAUAUCUUAGAUUAGCACUAGUUUAGGAAAAUCUUAGUAAAGCACAAUAAGUAUCUUUUUCAUAAAAAAAUAACCAAUAAUGCAACAUAUCUUAGGUAGGAUGUAUAGGAUGGCGAAUAUCUUUUCUAUUACAUAAUUAACCCCUUAUCUAGAAAUCUAAAAACUAGUUAGAGUUUUUAUUUACCAUAAAAUUAGAUAAUAACUUUUAUUUUAAUUCUUACAUUUAAUUCACCAAGAUGUCCCAUAUGAAAACCAUAAUUAUUAUUUAGCAAUAAAAUAACAAUAAUUUUAAUUUAGUAUUAUAAUAAGAAUUAUCAUCAUCUUAAGUAUCAAUUUUAUAAUAAAGUUUUAUAUAUCUUAAAUUAAGUAAGUUAGAUGUAACAUUCUUCCCUUCAUAUACCUUAGUUAACAAAAAACAGUUUAAAAUAAAUUAAAAGAGGUUUGUUAUUUAAUGUAAACCAAAACACAAAAUAUUGUUGAUUAGAAUAAUAUUUUUACAUUUUUGCCUUUCUCAACAUAAAAUCAAUGGCUUUAUUGAUAAGGGUACUAUCAUCUUUUCCAUAUGAUCCAUUGAUCAUUACCAAGUUGAUUGAAAAAAUCAGUCUUUUCUUAUUUUUUAGCAUAGUAAAAUUACUUAAUUACCCUAAAAGAAAAUAACAUUGAACUGGAAUUUGAUGGCUUCUUUUUCUGUUCUUUUUUUUAAGCAUAGUAAAAUGAUAGAAUUACCUUUAAGAUAAAGAAAUUAUUAAGCUGACAUAAAUGAAUGUUUUCAUAUUUUUAACUGUUAUUUUAGUUAUAAUCAAGUUGCAUGUGUUAGUGAGUGGGAGACACUCACUCUAUUUAGUUGGCGUGUAAGGUGUUUUUUGGUGAAUAUACGAUUGUUUUCAGGGCAUCAUUUGAAACAUCUAGGUGGCGUAUGUGGCCAAUAGACCUCUAGUUUGGUGUCGACAUUCUUUUCUUUUUUUUCUCUCUCCCUCUUGAUUUCCAUGUCUACCCCUCCAAUUUUUCAAAGUAGCCAUUCCAUUUGUUUUUCCUUUAACUUUGAUCCAUGUUUUUUUUAUUAUAAUUUUUUAUUUCAAAUGACUUAUAAAAUUGGGAUUGUGUUUUAGCUUUAACUCACUUCAGUUGUUUUAUCUAACAUAUUUGAUAUUCAUUGUUUUGAUUGCUAUUUUUAUUUUAUUUUUAUCAUUUUCUUGAUUUAUUUGAUUUUUUAAUUUUUGAUGAUUGAGAAUUGUGUUUCGUGAUUUUUUUUAUUUGCCUUCUAUGGAGUAACGUAGUCUUAUGACCCAAGUCAUGAGUUUUAGAGUUUAGCAUGAUUUGACUUUAGUCCUUUUUCUUUGAGGUUCUUUGUUUAUUUUUAUUUUUUUUAAUUUCAUCAUUUGACAUUUGGUUAUUGGACAUUUUAUAAGGUUAUUCUAAUAUCAUAUCCAGGAUCAUGAGUUAGUCUAAUUAACUCAGGUUGACUCGAUUUUUUUUUUUUACUUUUCUCUAAUCGAUUUUAUUUAGUCUCGCCUUUCAUAAUUUAGUUUAUUUGAGAGCUAACCUCGUUUGUUUUAUUCAAUUUUUUUUUAUGUAUAGGGUUAUAUUGACUUCACAAUUUGACCAUAAAUUUGGCAUGUCAACUUGAGUUAGGUUUUUUUGUCCGUUUUUUUUCAAUAUGUUUUUAAGCAUUUUAUUUGUUGGUGAUUGAGUUUAAGAUUUUUUUUUUAUGAGGCUAACCAUUUCUCAUUUAUUUUUUGUUUUGUUAUCCAAUAAAAUCAGUGAGACUUUUUAAUGAUAUUUAAAAAGUAUCUUUUUAUAAUAUUAAGAAACAUUAAUUUUUUAAAAUUAUUGAGACAUUGUCGAUUUUUUCUUUGGUUUUUUUUAUUAUCGUUGGUUUUUUUAUAAUUAUAUUAUUAAAUUUAAUAAAUUUAUUAAACUCAUUCAAGUUACUGAAUUAGUAAUUUCCUUUUGAUUCGAGAUAUUAUUUAGUCAGUUAAACUAAAGGUUAUUCAGUAAUUUACCAAGUUGAUAGAUGUGUAAUUUAUAGAUUUGAAACUUGCUUUGUUGUCCAUUCGGAUAGCAAAUCAACCAACAUAAUUGUGCACUUGAUAUGGUGCAUAGGGCAUGAAUGCGAAAGCAACAUAUUACAUAGUAAUUUCCAACGAUGUUUAAGCACAACUAAUGAUGAUGGACUAACCAUUUCUUUCCUCUGUUUUUUUUUCUUUAUUUCAUUUCUGUACCAAAUUAAAUGUAUGAUUAUAUAAUGAACAUCGCCGUUAGUAACAAACAAUAAAUGAAUUUCAUAGUCCUUAUAGUUUUACCAAUUUUUCAUUCAUGUCCUUCAAAACUAUAGAUUGACCUUCCAUUAUAAAUUAAGAGUUUGAAAAGAUAACUAAGAAUUUUAUGCUCGUAACAAUUUCUCAAGUGAAAUAGAAUAUUUCUCUGUGAAUGUAUGUUAAUAACAUUACUAUAAGAAAAAUCAAAUGAAAUCAUUUUUCUUUAGGGAAAUAUUAAGAAAAAAAUGAGGCAAUAAUUAAAUACUCCAUUGGCUUGUUUGCUAAGAGAGCGUGCUGGCAUUUCUCUUUGCACGAGUUCAAGAAAAUGAAAGAAUGGAAAUGAGUUUUUAUGAAGAAGAAAACUCGGAAUAAACGAUUAUAAAAGCGCAUAGUUCAGGUGGGCAUUCCUCAAUCAACACCAUUCAUAAGGGAGAGAUAUGGCUAGUUUGCUUAGAGAGAGCGCUUCCAUGUCGGCAUUUCACUUUACAAGAGCGCAAGAAAACGAAAGAAAAAAAGAAGCCACAUACUGAUAUCUUGAGCAACAGACCUGGAGAAGGGACCAGCUUUGUUGAUGGCCAUUGUAACAAGAAAACUAUCUAGAAAACUAUCUAGAUCAAACACCUUGCUGGCAUUGCUUUAGCCACCUCCGGUACCGUAAUUCUACUAGCAACAUUCCUAGCAGUCAACGUUAGUUCACGAGAACUAUUUCUAAUAAUAUCCGCACCAGGUCCGCCCUAUCAAAGAAAUAUCAACAUCGGCAUUGAUUUUAAGGCAAUUUUUGGGAGGAGGAUGCCAUCGGACAUUUGGUUCCCCGAUGAUCGAUGCAUUUUACUGGCCUUGGUGAUCGGAAAGAAGAAAAGAUGCUAUAUGAACAAUCAACAGGGGAUCACCUAGUGCAAUAUUGAAAAUGGAAUCCUUCCGCGAUUUCCACAAUGACCAGACAAUCAUGCUGAAAUAGUCCAUCUCCAAAUGUUGUCAUAGGUCCAUGACCCAAUCUUGAAAAGAUCCAUAAUCCAUACAAGAACUGUAAGGAGACAAGAAGGAUAGAAACCACAGAGGUCUACCAUGAUAUUUGGCGUAUUUGAGCUAGGUUUAUUGAUUGUUGGGGUAUAUCUCGGUACUGCCUUAGAAGUUUAUCUAAUCUAUUUCAUUAAUGGGAACAUCUUGUUCAUGGAAGAUUUCAGAGAAAGAAAUCCUUCAUGCUUUUCUUUAUAAUUUUACGGUUUAUCUAGCUUACAUGUAAUGAGUUAAUCUUCAAUAAAAGGAUGCCUAAUUAUGAUGAUAUUGUGUUUUCUUGAUAUUGACUAGAAUGUGUGUAUAGAUCAAAGCUAUUUUCUCAAAUUUUUAUUAUUGAGCACUUGAUUUAUUAAUAUCCAUGGAUGGUUUAGUUUGCUAGACUAAUAUCAAAUGUUUAAAGCCUCUCACUUACAAUAUUCCUCCGAAACGGAUUGUUGAUGGAUCUUCUAGGGAUAAACUUGGACCUAUUGGAAUUUAAGGGGUACUACAUGAUCAUAAUGGCUUAGUAAUGAGAUUUUUUUCAGCCUAUGUGGGAAUUAAGAAGUCAAAUGAGGUUGAAUUGCUUGUUUUAAUCAAAACCCUAGAAUUAUCCUCUUCGAGGAAUGAAUUUCAGUAUUAAAUCUUAUUCUGCCUCUAUUAUUAAUUGGAUGAACAAACAUCAUGUUAGACCUUCAAAAUAUCAUAUUUAUUCAUUUUCACCUAUCAUUAUGUUGUUUUUUUCUUUUUAAUCUUUGCAACCAAGGACCAUAUAUUGUAGGGAUCCAUCACUAGAAAUCUCAUCAACCAUCACAACUUGAUCCUCAUCGCCUUUCUCCUUACCACAUUCAAAUCAUUGCCCUUACCUUAUACCUUACCAACAAAAUUUCCAUGUAUUAAGAAAGAUGAGAUAAAAUAGAGAUAAAAAAUGAAAAAUAUCCUUCAAAUAGAAAUGACAACUCCUAGAAGAACACUUGCAAUAAAUAAGAAAAAAACUUAGAUUUCCAUCAUAAGGAAAACCAUAGAGAGAAACUUUGGGAAAGACUAGUACUUUGAAUAUAGUAUAAUACUAGAUAAGUGGCUCAUGCUAUACCACAAGCUCGACCAUAAAAAACCUUUAAUGUAAAAAAAUAAUGUCCAUGUAUUGUUAGUGUGUUUCAAGAAGUAAGAAAAACACACAACUGGGGUCAUAGACCCAAGUGGAUUCAAUAAGAUAGGUUCAUUUAAUUAUAUAUUAAAAAAUGAUAGCAAAUAGGCUAAAAUUAAAAAAUCUUUCAUAAAUGAGCCUAAGUAAAGUGAUCUUGGGCUUGAGCCACGUAUGCGUAAUUGCUCAACUCCACUCGGGCUCAUUUAUGAAUUUCAACAAAAAAAUAUCUAAGAAAACAAAUGAUAGAUUAUUAUGUUACUAAAAUACUAUAAAAAUUAUAAAAGAAAAUAACUUAUUUUUGUAUUAAAAAGUGCACAUGGGACUUGCUACUAAAUACGAUGAGAAAAGUUCCUUAUUCAUAAAAAUUUAUUGUGUAAGUUAGAUGUUAAUUUGGGACCUAAUUCAUGAGGUUAGUGAUUAGUACUUAAAAGUGCAUGUUUAUCAAGGUUUUAUAUCAUCAUUUUGCACUUGAAGUAUCAAUAACUCUUUAACUAAAGCAUGUUUUAUAAUAACAAGUUUGAUAUUAUAAGAUACCUUAAUUUAUGGUAAAUGCUCAUUUUAAUGCAAGACUAUCACAUAAAUAAAAGGAUUGAUUGAUGAGUUUAAGUAUUGAAAGUUAAAGACAAAGAGAUGGCCAAACUUAGAAAAGAGAUGUCGGUGCAGUCCAAACCGGAACAUUGCUCGGUAUUUGGAUCAUAUCUGGAGCUCUAGAUCUCGGAUUUAGGUCCAUUUUAUAUGGAUGGAAAAGUAAAACAUAGGCCUACAACUUUCAUUUAGACACCAAGAUUUAAAAAGGUCGUUUUGAAGUCCAAAUUGAAGGAACAACGAAGAAGUCUGAAGCUGUCCUGCAGCCCAAAUACUAUUUAGUGUUCAGCCCAUAUCUUGAGUUCUAGAAAUCCAAAUGACCUCAUCUUUUUUUUGUUGGAAAGCUGAGACAAUUUCCUAGAACAUUCUUGAGGAUUCUGGGCAAAUUAUGAUGUUAGCAAUGACGUCUUGAUCAGACAAGAAGAUAAGGAUUGUUAUCAAGUCAAGAUUUGGCCACCCACUCAUCAAUUAGUCAACAAAUCAAUAGUUCCAAAUUUUGGCCUAUAAAAGGAGGCACUUACCAUGUAUUGAGGCAUCUUGGUUUUCAGAUCAAGAUCAUGCUCUUGCUUUCUCUCUUUGUAUUGCUUAUGUCUUGCUUUCAUUAAUAUCAAGUUUAUGCACUUCAUUUCCUUUCCUUUACUUAGUUAACCUCUUUCUCAUUUAUGUUCUUAUCUUGUUCAUUUAUGUUUCUUUCUUUCAUUAUGUUCAGCUAAGUUAAUUAUGUCAAGGUGAAAAGGGUACACUAAUGGUGUAAGAAUAAGUAUAAUAUAAACUUAACAUGGACCUUAACGUUGGAUACGAACAUGUUUUAUAUUUGUUAUCUUGUUCACUUUUAAUACUUUGCUUGUUAAAUGGUUAAUCUAGAUUUAUGUUGUAUAACACUUGGUACAACAAAUACUUGGCACUUUCAUAGCCCAUACUGUAUGGUAUAACCGACACCUGAGCUAUGAAAGGAACUUGAUUUGUUGUUAACAUAAGUUAUAAUCAUGAAUGCCUGCCAACAUUUACAAGUAUUAGCUUUAUUCGAAUAAGAUAACUAAUGUAAUCAUGUUAACAAUUUAUAAUCUGAAUGAAACCUCCUUUAUGUGUGGUUUCCAAUUGAGUAAUAAGAGUUUAUAUUAUACUUGUUUGAAGUACCAUUAGUGGAUCCUCUAACCUUGACAUUUGUUUUUAUCAUUGUUUAAUCCUUACGUUAAUCUUUCAUCUCAAAGUUCUCAUUAAUUUCUUCAUCUUCUGCUUUCAUUAUUAUUAUUAUUAUUAUUCUUAUUAUUAUUAUUAUUAUUAUUUACAUUCUGUUUAUAUUAUAUAAUAUAUAUAUUUGAUCUUUUCAUAAACUCAGUAUAUAGGCUGGAAACCUGUGACCCGAUCUUUAGAUCAUUCUCAGAUAUAACAACGCCACGUACUGAGUAUAAUAGUUAUUAUUAUUAUUAUUAUUAUUAUUGUUAUUGUUAUUGUUGUUGUUGUUGUCUUGUUAUUUAUAAUUUAUACAAUUAACCUCUCUGUGGUUCGACCCCGGUCUUGCCGGGUUAUUUAUUACUUCGACACUCCUGCACUUGGAAAGAGACAUCAAGCUUUUGGUCGUGUCAAGUUUUUGGCGCCGUUGCCGGGGAGGAAUGGACUGAUGAAGCUAUCAUUUGGAAACAUGACAUUGGAGAUGAAUAUUUUCAACAUUUACAAGCAACCUGGAGAUGAUAAUGAUUUACAGGAAGUGGACUUUAUUGAAAAAUUAGUUCAUGAUCAAUUUCAAACCACUUCUAGUGAAACUGAGAUUGAUGAAUCUGAUGAUUUGCAAAUGGUCUACAUUCAGGAAUCAAAGGCAUACAAUUGGAGACCACAAAUUGAAGAAUUGCCACCACGAUCAAUUGAGCCCAUACCUUCAAGUGUUCAACCACCAAAACCUGAAUUGAAGCCGUUACCAUUUAAUCUCAAAUACUCAUUUUUGGGAGAAAAUGAAACUUUUCCGGUAAUAAUCUCUUCCAAACUUAAUGCGCAUCAAGAAGGUAAGUUAUUACAGACUCUGAAAAUGCACAAAAAUGCAUUAGGAUGGACCAUAGCUGACAUAAAAGGAAUUAGCCCUUUGAUUUGCACAUACAGGAUUUAUUUGGAGGAAAAUGCUAAACCCUCUAGAGAAAUGCAACGAAGGCUUAAUCCUAAUAUGAAAGAAGUAGUGAAAAAUGAAGUCAUUAAGCUUCUAGAUAACGAAAUCAUUUAUCCUAUUUCUGACAGCAAAUGGGUAAGUUGUACCCAAAAAGUCUGGAGUCAUUGUGAUAACAAAUGAGAAAAAUGAGUUAAUUCCAACUAGGACUGUUACGGGUUGGCGCAUGUGCAUUGACUAUAGGAAACUUAAUUCAAUGACUAGAAAAGAUCAUUUCCCUUUACCUUUCAUGGACAAAUCCUAGAAAGAGUUGCAGGUCAUGAAUUUUAUUGUUUCCUAGAUGGCUAUUCAGGUUACAAUCAAAUUGAAAUUGCAUUGGAAGAUCAAGAGAAGACUACUUUCACAUGUCCAUUUGGUACUUUUGCAUAUCGAAGGAUGCCUUUUGGAUUAUGUAAUGCACCAGCCACGUUUCAAAGAUGCAUGCUUAGCAUAUUCAGUGAUAUGGUUGAACGUUUUCUUGAAAUUUUUAUGGAUGAUUUUUCUGUUUUUGGUGAUUCAUUUGAUGAUUGUUUGACUAACUUAGAAAAGGUUUUGAGCAGGUGUGAAGAGAAGAAUCUUGUACUGAAUUGGGAAAAAUGUCACUUUAUGGUAACAAACGGCAUUGUACUUGGUCACAUUGUUUCAUCGAAAGGAAUUGAGGUUGACAAAUCUAAAAUCGAGUUAAUUGCCAACUUACCAACACCAAAAUCUGUUAAAGAUGUUAGAUCAUUCUUAGGACAUGCUGGUUUUUACAGAAGGUUCAUCAAAGAUUUUAGUGUAAUAUCUAAGCCCUUGAGUAACCUUCUAACAAAGGAUAAUAUUUUUGAAUGGACUGAACAUUGUGAGAAGCCUUUGUUAAACUUAAAAACUUGCUUACUUCUGCUCCUGUCAUUCAACCUCCUGAUUGGUCAUUACCUUUUGAAAUAAUGUGUGACGCUAGUGAUUAUGCCGUGGGUGCUGUCUUGGGACAAAGAAAGAUAAGAAACCUUAUGUGAUUUACUAUGCAAGUAAAACUUUAAAUAGUGCUCAAAUGAAUUACACUACCACUGAAAAAGAAUUACUUGCAGUAGUAUUUGCAUGUGAAAGUUCAGAUCUUAUCUUGUUGGCUCACCUGUUUGUUGUUUUUAGUGAUCAUGCAGCAUUGAAAUAUCUCUUCUAAGAAAGAUUCUAAGGCUAGAUUGGUGCGGUGGAUUUUGUUACUUCAAGAAUUUGAUAUCACAAUCAAAGACAAGAAAGGCACCGAAAAUGUUGUCGCGAUCAUUUGUCAAGAUUGACAACCGAUUCGAGAUCUGACAUUACACCAAUCGAUGACUACUUUCCUGAUGAAUCUUUAUUUUCUGUUCUACGAUGCCUUGGUUUGCUAAUAUUGUUAAUUUUCUUGUUUCAGGACAAUUGCCAGCUCAUUGGAGUACCCAAGACAAAAGAAAGUUCUUGAACGAAGUGAAGAACUUUUAUUGGGAUGACCCUUAUUUAUUCAAAUAUUGUCCUGAUCAAAUAUUUCGAAGAUGCAUUCCUGACAAUGAGGUAAGUAGUGUCAUUAAAUUUUGUCAUUCUGAGGCAUGUGGGGGUCAUUUCUCAUCAAGAAAGACAACUGCAAAAAUCUUACAAAGUGGAUUUUACUGGCCCACCAUGUUCAAAGACUCACAUGCAUUCUGUAAGAUUUGUGAAAAUUGUCAAAAGUUGGGAUCUAUUUCGAAACGUCACAUGAUGCCUUUAAAUCCUAUUCUUGUCAUUGAGAUCUUUGACUGUUGGGGUAUAGAUUUCAUGGGUCCAUUUCCUCCAUCAUUUGGUUUCUUGUACAUAUUGGUCGCAGUAGAUUAUGUUUCAAAAUGGAUAGAGGCAAUUCCAAGUCGAACCAAUGAUCACAAAACGUGAUAAAGUUUUUGAAAGAAAACAUUUUAAGUCGAUUUGGAAUCCCUCGAGCCAUGAUAAGUGACGGUGGAACACACUUUUGCAACAAGCCAUUUGAGUCUUUAAUGAAGAAAUAUGGAAUCACACAUAAAGUUGCCACCCCUUAUCACCCUCAGACAAGUGGACAAGUAGAGCUUGCUAAUAGGGAGAUCAAACAGAUCUUGGAGAAAACAGUGAACCCUAAUAGGAAAGACUGGUCUUUAAGACUUAAUGAUGCACUUUGGGCUUAUCGAACUGCUUAUAAAACAUCAUUAGGUAUGUCACCUUAUAGACUAGUCUAUGGAAAACCUUGUCACUUGCCUGUGGAAAUUGAACAUAAAGCUUAUUGGGCUAUUAAAGCUUUCAAUUCAAGCCUUGAUGAUGCUAGUCAGCUGCGAAAAUUGCAAAUAAAUGAGCUUGAGGAAAUAAGAAAUGAUGCAUAUGACAAUUCAAAAUUCAUAAAGCAAGAAUUAAAGAGUUUCAUGACAAGAAAAUACUGAGAAAAACAUUCAAUGUUGGUCAAAAAGUCUUGCUUUAUAAUUCUCGACUCCAUUUAUUUCCUGGAAAACUAAGAUCAAGAUGGAGCGGUCCUUUUAUUGUGAAACAUGUGUAUCCAUAUGGGGCCUGUGAUAUUGAGAAUCCAAAGAAUGGCAAUGUUUUCAAGGUAAAUGGGCAUCGUUUGAAAGUUUAUUUUGACAAUUUUUCGGUUGAAAAUGACUCUAUUGAAUUGAGUGAUCCUGUAUAAAAGAUUGAUUCUUUUUCUCACAUUGUUUUGUGUUUGUUGUAUCUAUUGUUUUGCUAGUCUCUCUUUCACCCCGGUCAAAUGGCGGAUAACGGUACUCCGUGACUUAAGUCGGUUCUUUCAGUUUCCCAAAUAACUGAUAUCUGUAUAUAUUUGUACAAUUCUUAGCUCUUUCUCCCUUCUUUGAAUCUCUUCUCUAAUUCUCUUUUGAAAAUGGACACCACUCUUGAAAAGUUGAAAAGGUAUUUUCCCGCUUUGCCUCCAAAUGCGAUUAAUAAAAUUUACCGUGCUAGGUGUGCAAGAUUGAGGUUGUUAAUGAAUCAUGGAAUUCCUGAAGAUAUUCGCUGGCUAAUUGAAGCAAAGGUCCGAUUAUCAGGUGAGUCCUCCAAUUCUUUCAUUUCACACAUGCCUGGAACAGGUAAAAGCACUUUUGCAAAGAAACGUCGUGCAAAACGACUGAAAGUCUGUCACAGAUGUGCCAGAUGGACUUGUAAUGCGACAUGUCGUUCUUUAGGAAUGGUAUCUGUAAACCGUGAAGAUAAGAUACAAUUCAUUAAGGAUGGCCUGAGUAAGGGGUCUUUAGAUAAUCUUUUGUUGACCCUUGAGACGCAUCCUAGUGGAGAUGUGCAUCGUGUAAUUCAUGAUUUAUGGCCACAAUUCCAUAAAGAACAUGAUCGACUUAGUCUUGGGAAUCUGACUAAAAAAGACCCUGUUUGCCAGUUUUUAAGAAAACUGGAUGGGAAGCCUAUCCCCGACCCAUAGAGGGCGUUUAAGCCGUUCUUGGACGUAAAACCAAGGGAAGAUGUGAGCCACAAUCACAACUACCUGUACAUACAUGCUUUUUCAAAAUAAAUAAUUAAUAAAGAGAGAGAGAGAGAGUUUGUGAGACUACAGCUGGCCUACAUAUAGGUGGUAUGAUUGCAUUUUCACUUUUUCAUCUAUAAAUUCUUCUCUUCCUUCCCUUCAUUUCUACUCAUCCCAUAUAUUCAUCAAAUAUAGAAGUGUGUAGAAAUGGCAGGUUCCUCAAGUCAUCAUAUAAGAAAUAUUUGUGUUUUCGGUGGAUCCAGUUCUGGGAAAGAAAAAGAGUUUUUAGAAUCAGCAAAUCAUCUUGGUCGGGUACUAGCUGAGAGAAAGAUUCAUUUAGUGUAUGGGGGAGGUAGCCUUGGGUUAAUGGGAGGUGUGUCAAUGGCUGCAUUUUUAGGAGGCAGUCAAGUUUUGGGGGUUGUCCCCAAAGCUUUAGCAAAUGGGGACAUCAUUGGAAAAACAAUUGGAGAGGAACUACAGGUCCCAACAAUGUCUGACCGACUGAAUACCAUGUUUAACCAUGCUGAUGCCUUCAUUGCCUUACCAGGUGGUCUGGGCACAUUGGAAGAGAUCUUUCAUAUUUCAUCUUGGGCCCAACUGCACAUUCACCAUAAACCUAUAGGUUUGUUAAAUGUUAAUGGUUUUUAUGAUAAGUUGUGUCUUUCCUUGAUCAAGCUGUGGAACAGGAAUUUCUAACAUCUUCGGCACGACGAAUCAUAAUCUCUGCUGCUACUGCUGAACAAUUGAUUGACCAACUACAAUCUUUCAUCCCUGUCAUUGAUCCCUGCAUGAGUCGCUAGAUUGGUCAACUAAGGAAAGCCGUAAAAAGCUUAGAUUAGAUUUGAGCCUUCAUCUGUGAAACCUUGUGUCUUUUGGUUUUAUUAAUAGCAUAUUAUUUUGUUUUGUUACUUCUUAUGUUUGUUUAAGUGUGUUUCAGGUUUGUCAUUGUUCGCUGUUUCAGGUGAUGUCUUCUAUACUCUAUCUUUCUACCUUCGAACAUUGAGGACAAUGUCUCGUUUUGGUUGGGGGAGAGGGUAGUAGUUUAAAAAAAAAAAAAACUAACUUGCUAACUGUUUUUGCUAUUAUUAAAACCAUUUGACAAAAUUGUUAUUAGGAUGGCAGAGUAUGGAAUCAAUUUUAUUGACUCUAGAGACGCAUCUUAGUAAGUUUCAUUACCAAGGUCUAUCAUAAUACUUCUUGAAAUAUUCAGGUUUACAAACUCUCACAUUGUUAUCACUUGAUUCUGCUCAUAUACUCAUUUAACAAGUAUUAUUAAACCUUCAUUUUCACACACACACUUUAACAUAUGAUUGUGGGUUGCACAUUGGAUUAUUACAUUAAUUAUGUUCUUUUGUUGAAGGUAACAACUAAGGGAAAAGGAUAGUAUAUAAUUUGCAAAAAAAAAAAAAAAAGAAAAAAAUAGUAUUGAUGAUAAUAAAACGUGGAUAAGUUUGGUUUCGUAGCCUCCCUAACCUAAGCAAUUAAGCCCGAAGGGGUGUUUUAACACCUAAUACCCUAAAGUCAACUGACUUGGGAGCUAUUGGCCCAAAGCUUGUUACAUGGGUUAAGGAGAAAAGCUUAAGGGAAUCAAACAUUGCACUAUCUACGUAUCAGUAUCUGCAACCCGAGUUGUUAAGCUCGUAGGGGUGUCUCAACACCUAAUGCCCUAAGACCAACUGGUCUGGGAGUCAUUAGCCUAAAACUCGUUACAUGGGUUAAAGAUACAUUGUGUUUUAAGUUGUAUGUGUAUAUAAAUAAAAAGAAAAAAAAAAUCCCAACCCAAGGAAGUUCACCUUAAACAUUUGAACAUAAUAUUGUUUUCUUCCAACAAAAGCCCCAUCAUCUAUGUUUUCAUUGAGCACACAAAAAGAAGGUUUAUUAAUAUCUUGUUUAAGAAGUAUGAAGCAGGAAUAUAAAUUUAAUGAGAGUUUGUUUAUCUGGAUAGAUUAAUGGAAGUUGAAUGAUGAAUGCCUUGCUUUGUGGAACUUGCAAAUUGUUUCUCUAUUUUAACGCUUUAGAUUACUAGGGACUAGUAAUAAGCUGGUUGGGGGGUGUGAUUAGUACUUAAAAGUGCAUGUUUAUCAAGGUUUUAUAUCAUCAUUUUGCACUUGAAGUAUCAAUAACUCCUUAACUAAAGCAUGUUUUAUAAUAACAAGUUUGAUAUUAUAAGAUACCUUAAUUUAUGGUAAAUGCUCAUUUUAAAUGCAGGACUAUCACAUAAAUAAAAGGAUUGAUUGAUGAGUUUAAGCAUUGAAAGUUAAAGGACAAAGAGAUGGCCAAACUUAGAAAAGAGAUGUCGGUGCAGUCCAAACCGGAACAUUGCUCGGUAAUUGGAUCAUAUCUGGAGCUCUAGAUUUCGGAUUUAGGUCCAUUUAUAUGGAUGGAAAGGUAAGACAAAGGCCUACAACUUUCAUGAGGAGCCCAAGAUUUGAAAAGGUCGUUUUUGAAGAACAACGAAGAAGUCCGAAGCUGUCCUGCAGCCCAAACACUAUUUAGUGUUCAGCCCAUAUCUUGAGUUCUAGAAGUCCAAAUGACCUCAUCUUUUUUUUGUUGGAAAGCUGAGACAAUUUCCUAGAACAUUCUUGAGGAUUCUGGGCAAAUUAUGAUGUUAGCAAUGACGUCUUGAUCAGACAAGAAGAUAAGGAUUGUUAUCUAGUCAAGAUGUGGCCACCCACUCAUCAAUUAGUCAACAAAUCAAUAGUUCCAAAUUUUGGCCUAUAAAAGGAGGCACUUACCAUGUAUUGAGGCAUCUUGGUGUUCAGAUCAAGAUCAUGCUCUUGCUUUCUCUCUUUGUAUUGCUUAUGUCUUGCUUUCAUUAAUAUCAAGUUUAUGCACUUCAUUUCCUUUCCUUUCUAGUUAACUUCUUUCUCAUUUAUGUUCUUGUCUUGUCAUUUAUGUUUCUUUCUUUUAUUAUGUUAGCUAAGUUAAUUAUGUCAAGGUGAAAAGGGUACACUAAUGGUGUAAGAACAAGUAUAAUAUAAACUUAACAUGGACCUUAACGUUGGAUACUAACAUGUUUUAUAUUUGUUAUCUUGUUCACUUUAAUACUUUGCUUGUUAAAUGGUUAAUCUAGAUUUAUGUUGUGUAUAACACUUGGUACAACAAAUACUUGGCACUUUCAUAGCCCAUACUGUAUGGUUUAACCGACACCUGAGCUAUGAAAGGAACUUGAUUUGUUGUUAACAUAAGUUAUAAUCAUGAAUGCCUGCCAACAUUUACAAGUAUUAGCUUUAUUCGAAUAAGAUAAUUAAUGUAAUCAUGUUAACAAUUUAUAAUCUGAUUGGAACCUCCUUUAUGUGUGGUUUCCAAUUGAGUAAUAAGAGUUUAUAUUAUACUUGUUUGAAGUACCAUUAGUGGAUCCUCUAACCUUGACAUUUGUUUUUAUCAUUGUUUAAUCCUUACGUUAAUCUUUUAUCUCAAAGUUCUCAUUAAUUUCUUCAUCUUCUGUUUAUAUUAUUAUUAUUAUUUUAUUUAUUAUUAUUAUUUACAUUCUGUUUAUAUUAUAUAAUAUAUAUAUUUGAUCUUUUCAUAAAGUCAGUAUAUAGGCUGGAAACCUGUGACCCGAUCUUUAGAUCAUUCUCAGAUAUAACAACGCCACGUACUGAGUAUAAUAGUUAUUAUUAUUAUUAUUAUUAUUAUUAUUGUUGUUGUUGUUGUUGUCUUGUUAUUUAUAAUUUAUACAAUUAACCUCUCUGUGGUUCGACCCCGGUCUUGCCGGGUUAUUUAUUACUUCGACACUCGUGCACUUGGGAAGAGACAUCAAGCUUUUGGUCGUGUCAGUUAGGACAAUCCCAUAUAAAUUAUGAUGUCUAAUUAUCAACAUAGAAGGAUGAAAUAAAAAAAAUCAUUUAACAUAAAAGGAUAAAAAAACACCAACAAACCUUGAAAAGUUUGUCAAACCUAACGAGUUGGAUCAUGCAAAAUGAUAAUCUAAUAGAAGGCAAAACAUGAAAAAAGAUGAAGUUUAAUUCUAAAAAAAAUCCAAUAUUGAAUGAUAAAAUAAAAAAGAAUUUAAUAAAAAAAUAUUUAAAUCAAUCUGAGCUAACCCGUCAAACUCGAGACCUAACCCUAUAUAUAUAUAUAUAUAUAUAUAUUACUGACUUGAGCAUCGGAGAGUCUUAUAUUCUAGUAGGAGACUUGUCUUGUAGGAGAUUCCAAGUUGUUAGGUUAGUUUUAUAAAUACUCAUGAACUUAGUCUAUAUAUAAAAGCCUAAAGUUGUCAUAUUUUAGGGUUAAGGCUUGUUUGUAAAUGCAUUUAUUCUCUACACUUUGGUGGCUAGAGAGAAAAGAGAAAAUGUGAGUAUUUGGUUACUUUAGGAUCUUGGAUAAGAGAGCCAUUUUAUGUGACACCUUUUAGUCUUCUUCUUUCUUAUAAUGAAUUUUUAUUAUCAUCUUGCUUGUGGAAUAUACCUAAGUUGUCAGACUAUGUAAAUUUCUUUUAUGCUUUUAUAUGAUUGAUGGUGUUUGUUCUUAUAUAUUUCUCUACUUACUGAUUUGUUUAAGAUUCUAGAACUGUUUCAACAAUAAAUUGGUAUCAGAGCUUGCCUAGUUAUCAUUUGGCUUUCAUAAUGGUGAUAAAAGUAACAUCGAUGAUGAAUUUUAAUGAAAAGAAAUUUAAUGGUAGGAACAAAUUCAAUAUGUAGCGUAUUAAUUAAAAUGCAUGCCUUAUUAGUUCAACAAGAUUUAUUUAAGGCAUUAAAUGUAUAGACAAUUUGCUUAAGGGAAUGGAUGAUGAGGAGGAGGAAGAUCUUAUUGAACACGUAAAUUAUGUUAUUUAGCUUUACUUGUUUGAUAAGGUUUUAAGAGAGGUUGUUAAGGAUACUAUAAUUGUUGAAUUGUGGAUAAAAUUGAAAACUCUUUAUAUAACCAAAUCCAAUGAAUUGAUUGUAUCUGAAGUAUUAGUUAUAUACUCUCCGGAUAAAAGAGGGUAUGCCCAUUAAAAACCAUUUUAAUGAAUUUAAUAAAGUAAUUUUAGAUUUAUAAAAAGUUAAUGUUGAAAAUGAGGACUAGGCUUUGAUUUUAUUGUGUUUAUUACCUUCAUCUUAUGAUCAUUUUAUGGAUAUUUUAAUGUAUAAAAAUGAUAUUCUUAGUUUAGAAGAUGCCAAAGCUUCUUUAGGCUCCGUUUGUUUGCUGGAAAGUAGUUUUCUUUUGGAAAGUGAAUUCCGGGGAAAGUAAAUUUCGGGAAUACCCGAAUUUUUAUUUACAAAGUCGUAUGAAAUAGGUGUAAUUGAAUUGGAAAAAUAUAGGGUGUUAUACCAAAUGAUAAAAUAAAUACUAAUAUACUUAGUCAAUACAUAAAAGCCUAAGGUUAUCAUAUUUUAAUGUUAAGACUGGUCAAUAAAUGUCUUCCUUCUUUGUAUUUUGGUGGCUAAAAAGAAGAGGAAAAUAUGUGUUUUGGAUUUCUUUAGAAUCUUGGGUAAAAGAGUAAUUUUAUAUGACACCUUAUAAUUUACUAGUUUCUCAUAGUAAAUUGUCAUGAUUGUACUGCUCGUGAAGUAAACCUAGGUUGUCAAACCAUAUAAAUUAUUUAUGUGCUCUUGUGUGAUUAAUUGUACUUGUUAUUUUAUAUUUCUCUGUUUAUUAAUGGGUUUGAAAUUCUAGAAAUGUUUUUGCAACAAAGGCUUAGGAACAAAAUCUACAUUCUAGUGUAGACACUUUCAGCUUAAAACGUAAAAGCCUCAAUCCAAUAUAAAGUUUUCACAACAUCAUCAAGAUUCAAUUCAAAUCUCUAGGAAUAAAAUCAAAUGACUUUUCCAACCAAACUAGCUAGUCCAUUUCAAACAAUAUAAGACUUCUUAGAUCACUUAUUUUUCAUUUAAAGAAAUACUCUUAAAAUCAUAUAUAUUAUACAAGUUGCAAGUGUAGUCGUAUUAACAAAGACUCUUUCUUUUCGCUAUUGCUCUAUAGUAAACAAAGAGUUGAAGUGAUUACUUUGUGAUAUAAGAAGAGUAAAUGAAAGAACCGAACAUGUUUAUGUUAGGUAUCACUUCAUUCUAACAUGUCAAAGGGUGAUGUAUCGGUGAAUAACAUUGAUAUAGCUAGGAACCUUGCAGAUAUGUUGACGAAGCCUAUCUAUAUAGUCAAGUUUAAGCAUUGCUUGGACUUGAUUGGUUUGUUUAGUACUUGAAAGAUGCUUGGUAGAGGUGCUCAGAUAAGAGUUCAAGUUUUGUAAGUUGUCUAAGUUUAAGCCAUGAUGGAGAUUUAUUUGGUUUGUCUUAAAUUACAAGCUCAAGUGUAAACCCCUGGAUAAUAAUAAUAAUAAUAAUAAUAAUAAUAAUAAUAUGUUAAAUAAGUAAAUGGUGUAUUUGAAUUAAGAAGGUGAUUUUAGAUUUUGAAAACUUGAAAUAAAAUGUUCUUAUAUUAAUUGUAAAACAAAUAAAUGAAAAAUAGUGGGAAAAAUAAAAAACAAAUAGAGAAAAGUAGAUAAAAGAACAAAAGGAAUAGAUAAAAGGGGAAAGAAAUGUUCUAUGAUAUAAUUUAAUAAAAUUAAAAAUGUGUAGUCAAUUUAAACUUGGUAUUAAAAAUGUGUAUAAAUCUAAACAAUAUGACCCGACAAAUAUAAAAGGUACAAUGUAAACCCGUAGCCUAAAAAUUGAUAAAGUAGAGAUAAAUAUGGAGAAUCUGUAUGAAUUUGAGGAGAAAAUAUUUAGAAAAGCAUUUGGAAAUUUUAAAUAAAUUAAUGUAUGGUUUUACGUGCGAAUGGCUUGGACUGCCAAUAUAAACCAUGCAUAAAAUUGCGUAAUUUUUAACCCGAAAAGGGAUGAAACUUGAGGAAAUAUUGAUGAUUUAAUAGUAAAUUGGGAUAAAAUUCACAAAUGAAAUAUUUUGAAAAUAUUGAUGAUUUAAUAAAAUAAAAACAUUUACUAAAAGUGGGGAUUUAGCGUAAAAAUUACAUGUUGUCUAGUUUUACGCUACCAAACAUAAUUAUCAAUCUAACCGUUAGGUCGAGCUAAAAUUUUACAUGGUAUCUCCUAACAUAUGUUUCUAUCUUAGGUUAGGAUUUCAUGUCAAUCGAAUAUCGGAAAGGCUUUACAAAGAAACUGACAGUCGGAUAAUGCUGAAAAAUUACUCAUGGACUCAUCAAAGACAUUUUUGUCAUUUGACCAAAUUCUUCUUCUCUUUCCCUAUAUAGGCUGACAUUCAAAAUUGAAAAAAAAAAAGGAAGAAAAAUUAUAGCCUUUUCAUCUUCUCCUUUUUCAUUCUUUCAUCUUUUUAAUUAGGAGAAAUCUUAUGGAAGCUUGAUUUCUUCAGGUUGUAAGUGUGAGUUAAUGAUCAAAACACAAAACAUCUUAUGGAAGCUUGAAAUCUUAUGGGAUUAGUGCCUUGGAUAAUGGGCAAUCGAAGAAACUAGUUGCUCUAAUUUAUGGAACUAGUGCCCUGGUAAAUGGGUAAUUAGAAAAAUCAAUUAAUUUAGUAAUGGAACAUAUACCCAAUUUGGGCUAGAGAGAGCAAUGACAUGUUUUUAAAUUAUGCUAUUUGUAUUGAUUUAUGAGGUUAAGGGUAAAAUAAUAAAUUAUAUGUUUAGUAAUUGAUGUGGUAAAUUUACGUAAGAGAUAAUAACAAAUAGAAAUGUUGUAUAUAUAUAUAUAAUUUACCCGAAUUUUUAUGUACAACAUCGUAAGAAAUAGGUGUAAUUGUAUUGGAAAAAUACGAGGUGUUAUACUAAGUGAUAAAAUAAAUACUCGUAUACUUGGUUAAUAUAUAAAAGCCUAAAAUUAUCAUAAAGGUUAAGACUGAUCAAUAAAUGUCUUCAUUCUCUACAUUUUGGUGGCUAAAAAGAAGAGAAAAAAUGUCAGUUUUAGUUUCUCAUAGUGAAUUAUCAUGAUUGUACUGCUCGUGAAGUAAGCAUAGGUUGUCAAAUCAUAUAAAUUCUUUAUGUGCUCUUAUAUGAUUAACUGUACUUAUUAUUUUAUAUUUCUCUACUUAUUGAUGGGUUUGAAAUUCUAGAAAUGUUUUUGCAACACAUGCUUAGGAACAAAAUCUACAUUCGAUCCUAGACACUUUCAGCUUAAAACGUAAAAAGUCUCAAUCCAAUAUAAAGUUUUCAUAACAUCAUCAUCAAGAUUCAAUUCAAAUUUCUAGGAACAAAAUCAAAAGAUUUUUCCAACCAAACUAGCUAGUCCAUUUCAAACAAUACAAGACUUCUAAGAUGAUUUAUUUUUCGUUUCAAGAAAUACUCUCAAAAUCAUAUAUAUCAUAUGAGUUCCAAGUGUAGGUGUAUAUAUUAACAAACACUUUUUCUUUUCGCUCUUGGUGUAUAGUAAACACAUAGUUCAAGUGAUUACUUUGUGAUAGAAGAAGAGUAAAUGAAAGAGAAAUAAAUGGAGAAUCCGGUGAGCUAGGGUUAUGAUUUCAAAGAAGGUUGAGAAAUUCCUUUACAAUCAUGGUAAUGAUAAGAUUAAAAUGGAAGAGGAGAAUCCAUUCAGACGUGGAAUGACCAAUAUUUAGAGACUCGAAACGCAACUAAAUUGAUGUGCAAUUGACAUGACCUAACGAAGAAAAAGUUCCCUUCACAUUUGCCCGCUACCAUCAUCCUAUGUACGAAGGAAUCUCGAGACAUUCUUUGUGGGAGGCCAGCCUCCACCCUACAUCAGAUUUGACGCUUCACAAGCCUUUUUUGCUAGCACAUAAUUAGUUAAUUUGUCCAAAUGCAUGUAAAUUUUCCUUUAAGGAGUUUCUUUUGUUUUUUUUUUUUUUUUUUUUUUAGUUUUCAGCACAUUAGUGGUAUUUUAUCAUAUUGUUUGAUGGAGGAGAAGAUCACAAAAGUGAACUGAAUACUUGCGUACUGGUUUUAAGCUAUUAAUAUACAAAAAAUUUCAUGGUAAUCAAGAAAUAACUAUAUUAUUAUCCUAUUAAUUGCUUCUUAUACUUAUCUUGAAAAAUAAUAAACACGAAAAACAAAAAAGAUUAAACAUUUAACAUGCUAAAAAUAAUAAGAAAUUUUUAUCCUAUAGUUGUAUUUAUCUUUUUUCUAAAAUAAAUUAAGAAAUUAACUAAUAAGAUAUCACUAAUUAUUUCCGAGCAUCACAAAAUUUUCUAAUUUUCCAUUUACACUAAAAUUGUUGGACCUCAUGUUAAUCAAGAAUAUCGAUAAUGCAAAUUCUAGAUGAAGUGAAGAGGGUGCGUGUUGCUUGAUUUGGUCCCUCAAAUCCUAAAUCACAGAACUAGUCAAGUGGAAAUUUCUAUCAUGAAUAUGAUUUUAAAAGGGUGCCCUACUGCCUAGCAUCCACCUCUCUCCACCGUUCAAUCCUCUGUGCUUAGAAUUUAGAAAUCAUCCUGAUGAAGGACCAUGUAUGUUUCAUCAUUUUUUGUGAUUUCCAUUUCAACAAUGGGUCACCCAACCCUAGCUACAAUCAAGACCCUCUGCCACUCUGCUAAAGAAGAUGUGAUUUCAUCAUGGAAAGCUUUAAAAUCUAAACGAAUUAAGUUUUUUUCCCCACCAAGGAUCAUGACCAUGCGUAUUGAAUUCAUAAAUGCAUGCCUACUUAAUAUAUAGUUUUUUUCCCACCAUUUUUCUUGUAUAAAAGAAGUUGACUUCAUAAACCAAAUUGGGACUGGUAGGACAGGACCUUCUCGCUGUUCAUUAACCACAAAAAAAAAAAAAAAAAGCUAAAAUUAGCAUCAAUUCAAAUUUCUUUUUAGUUUCAAUACACAGCUUCUCAUACUUAUGCUUAUUUCAGUCUUCUUGGUGGAUUUAUGCUUGCUUCUCAGCCUAAUAAUAUUACGUACAAGAUUCCAUAUAUAUAUAGGGCAAAACGAAAAACACUGUUACAAUGGUAUUAUUAUACAAAUAAUAUUACUUUAAUAUGUAAUAAUACUUCAGCAAAAUUAUGUAUCAGAACUAAAUUGAAAAAACACAAAUAGACUGUUUAAAUGAUAAUUUCAUAUACAGUUUAAAUUUUUUUUAAAAUAUAUUAUUAGUAAAUAUUACAUUGGCUAAAGGGCAAGCUUCAAAAAAUAUGGGGGCAAAUGUUUAAAAAAAUGGGCGAAUUCAAAGUCCCAAGAUUGUUAAGGAAUAUCAUUAUGAAUUUUUCGGAAGAUUAAGGGGAUUGCCUCCCUUCUCUUUUCAUUAGUCCCACCUCUAUCACACAUAUAAACAACCUUAAAAUUUAAUUAUUUUGCCUUGUCGUUAUAUGUGUUCAUGUGCACAUGCAAUAUAUAAUCCUUAUCCCAUUGCCGAAAGAAGACGGAGUUGCUUCAUGGUAAAAGGGGGAAGCCAAGACAAGAAUUGUAGCAGGCAGAGGCAGCCCUUCAGAUUGAUCAGAUCUUCGCACGAGUGGCAGUAACUAUCCACUCGAGAUUUUCCUUUGCGAAGAAAUAUUGCUAUGAAAUCAUGAGGGAGGAGAAGAGAGGGCCGCCCACUAGCAGCAGCUCGAGAUUGACUCAAGAUCUGCCCGGUCGGACACCACCACAAUUCUUUUCCCACUUGAAUAAUUUACCUUUCGUUCUCACUCCAGAACGAGAGAGAGAGAAAGAGAGAGAGAGAGAUUAUCUUGUGAUAACAUCAUGAACUAUUCCCGUCGAAGACAUUCUCCUCUAGCUUUGAUUGAGUAAAACAAGUUACCCCACCUUAAUUCUUCAACAAGUUGCAGAUCAAAUCUCAGUGACGUUCAUAUGAAGAAUAAAUAACUCCAUUAUAUAUAGUGUGUAUGUAUAUAUAUAUACACGCAUAGUUCAUCUAUUCAACUAAACUAACUUGCAGGAGCUCGAACCCAGAUUUAUACUCGAUCUACAGAUUCGAUUCUUGAUAUGAAUAUUGCCCUUCUUUCUUUCCUGAUGACAUCAUAUAUAGUUAGUGUCGGUGCCAUGCAUGCUGGUGUGAAGGCUCAACCUAAGUAGUUAAGAUAUAUAACUUGUAAAGUAACAUUGCAGCGAUCGAGUUGGAAUUUGAUUUCAGAUUGAGGUUAUCGUCUCAUUGAAGAUGCAGAACACGAGAGACAAAUAAAGGAAGGUCCUUCCAUGCAUAUGCCUGGGUGCUUGUAGACAAAUAAAGGAGGAGCAUGAAACAUGUAAAGUGGCGAUCCCGAGGAACAAAAUGAAGGAGAUCCCACAUUAAAGAGAGCAGCCUCGAAUAAUACAGAUACCCACAUAUCAUAUCCUCCUAGCCUCAUCAUGAUAUGGUGAAAAUCAUCUUAAUUAUUACUCUUCAAAAGUCUCUCGAGGUCUCCGACCUCCGAGGUGUAAAAACACUAAGUAUAUGAAAAUAUAACAAAAGUAAAAUAAAAUAAAUAGAGUUAGAGAGGGAUUAAUGAGCUUCCUAGGAAUGGGCUUAGAAGUUGGGUCGAGGCCUAUUUUCUAUCUUUGAAGUUUUUCUCCACUUUGAUUUAAAUUUAAAUUCAAUAAAAAAAAAAUUUAAUAAGGUAAAACAACAUCUUAAUGAAGGAUUUUUUAAACUCAAAUCGGCUCUUGAAAAUUUUUAAUUAAAAUUCAUUUAAAUCAAUAAUUAAAAAUACAUUUGAGAUAUUAUUUACUAAAGCAUGAUUCAAUUUUUAGUUAUUUUUUUAAUAAGAUUAUAAUAUAUUUUUUAUAAUAUUAAUAAGCGCUUUUUUAUACAACCAUUCAUGAUAUUUUUUGUUUUAGAUUUUAUUCAAUCACUUUAUUUUACAUGUUUAUUUUUAUUAAAAUAUAAUUAGAUCAAAAACUUAAUUUCAAAAACAAAAUUUUAUUUUAUUUUACUUUUGUUUUAUUUUCAUAUACUUGUUAUGUUUUGAAGUGUUUUGUUAUCUCUAGUGUAUUACACCUUGGAGAUCGGAGACCUCAAGAGACUUUUGGCAUGGCAAUCAUAUAUUCUUACAAACAUAUGAAUUGUUAGUAUGACGCCAUCUUUGUCACCAAUAGUUAUCUCCUGUCAACCUGUCUUUUCAAUAGAUGCUUAUCUUUCUCACCAAUAAGAGUGGCACCAACCCUUUAAGUAUAAAGUCUACAUAGCUUUAGAUACAUGGUAUGAGUAUUGUUCUCCAUCAUUACUUGACAUGGUGUUUGCAACUCCAUACUCUAAAAUAUAAUUUUAUAUGAUCGAGAUGUAUAAAUAUCUUAAAUCACUAAUAACAAAACACAACUCCACAACAAUGUCACACAUAACAACAUACACUCUCAUAUGUUUUUUUUUCUGUCGUUAUAUUUCUCUUCUUGCAAUUUAAUGAUUUAAGUAUUAGAUAUUCUCUAUCCUGAUAUGGAACUUUUUUUUACAAAAAACAAAAUAUAAAAUAGUUAAAUCUGGACACUUCAGCCACUUAAAGUAGUUGUGAAAAACUCACAUCUAAUCUAAAGUUUUUUACUUCAUUAGAAUUUCUUUCAUCAAAUGUAAUUCAAUAACACAGAAUGAUUUAUUUCAUUAUUAAAAUAUGUUCAACCAUUAAUUUUCUUUCUUGUUCAUUGUUUUUUUGGCAACUCUCCCUCUCGACUCUCAAAUCAAUUAAUUGAAAAAUAACAAAAUGAAGCUUUGAACUAAAACAAAAAUUAAAAAGAAAAACAAAGGAACCAAAAUAGAAAAUGAAACAAUUCAAAGGCAAAAAAUUUCAAAAAUGUGUGAUUUGAACAUUACAAAAAAAAAAAAAAAAACCUUGGGGUUAUAGCCCUCAAUUUUCAAAUUUUUUAAAGCAACAAGAUCAAUUUUUUAAAAAAAAAACAAAAAUUGAACAUCAACUAAAUAUUAUGAUAUUUCUUUGAGACCUCCAGAGCCUUCUAGCAAGCAAAUCAAAUUAAUUUUGUAAGCACAAAUAAAAAAUAAUAGUGUCCAAGGAUUAAAUUAAACAAAAAGUAUGGUGAUUGAAAUUUUAAAAAAAGAAGUUCAAAGGACUAUAAAAACACAAAGCAUUGUGCCAGUAAUCAGUGCUUUGUUAAGGGAUAUAUAGAGAAUUUCCUAUGGUAUUUAGUUUUUUUCCUUAAUCUGAAAUCUAUAAACUCUCGAACAUGAGGAGUUUCAUUUUAUUAUGGUUGUGUUAUUAAUUGUGGCCUUACGGUGAAGAAUCAAUAAUUUCUCUUCUUUCUGGUGACGGAAAUGAGGUUACUGAGAAGGAAGAUUUGGUAAAAAAAUAAACAUAUUCGAUAAACAAAAUAUUAAAUUGAGGAUACUUCACUAGGUUUAUUAACAAAGAGAGAGUAAGUUGGUAAUAAAAUAUGAAACUACAAGGGUUAUUUAAGUUUUUUUUUUUUUUUUCAUUGAAGAAGGGCUAAACAAUUCGUUUCUAAAAACUAUGAAGACUAAUUUAUCAUUAACUCCAGCAAAUUUAGACCCAAAAUUGGGUUUUCAAACAACAAUCAACCACAACAAAGGCUUUCGCAACCAAUACGGACGGUUAGGAUCACACACUUGGAGCACUUGGAAAGUUGGAAGUUAGUAGAAAAGCACUGCUACAAGAAAACUGACAAUCAAUUAUGGACCUCGUUUACGAACAGACCAAUCGGGUUGACUUGCAAGAACCAACAAUGGGGUUUAACACUAUAGAAGCCACCCAUCGACGUAUCCACCAGUAUACAAUUUAUGACACAUUUUUUUUAUUACCAUAUUUGCCUACAUAUGUAUCAUCGACUCAAUGUGCAUGGUUUGUCUACAUUAUGGGAAGCAGAAGCAACAUAAUUAGGACCCACACACAAAAAAAAAAAAAAAGAUGCCUGAAAAUGGAGCUUUGAUUGCAUUAAAUAAAAGAAGAUAAAAAGGUUUUAUACAUUUCACAAGGAAAAAUAAAUUUCUAUAACUACUUGAAUCCCUUAUGGGGUUUGAUUUGAAAUUUACCUUCAGAAGUUUGGUGUCCAGUUGAGAUGGCCUAACUGAGGUUGCUGAUAAGCACCCACUUGUGCCCCGGGAGCAGAUGGGGCAACCCCAACUCCAACAUUGUUGCCCAUAACAGGACCCAAAUGGUGCGGACUUGCCAUUGCAGUUGGCUGUGGAGGUGGAUACAAGCCUGGGAAUUGCAUGUGAGAAGAUUGUGCUGCAGCCGCGUUGAAGGAGGCAUGGCCAGUGUGGGAUGGCAAAUACGCAGUAUGUGUUUGCCCAGGGAUGUUAUAGUACGGCGACGAUUGCAAGCCUGGAAGAUCCCUUGGGUUCUGAAUCCAAAUUUCAGAUGACUCAGCCUGCAACAGCAAAUGUAAAAAAGGCAAUCAACAAAGAGGUGAUGGACAGACCAAUUCAUGUAAUUACUCAGUUAGCCAUAAAAGUAAUUAAAUGUAAAGUCAGAUUGUCAUUACCGACAAAGAACUUUUACCUGUGGGUUGGGAACAUAAAUGUUUCCAUCUUUGUACUUCAUCCGAGAUGGGUCUUCAAGACCUGUUGCACUUCCAACCAAACCAGGAGCAUUUAUAGCAUACCCACUUGGACUUGUAAAAUUUCCAAAACCAGCAGGAUUGCUGCUAGGAACUGGUUUAUAGUGCUGGAUUCCAUACUUGAGGCCAUUUGCAUUAAGAUGGGAACCACCUCCGGGCAUCAGCAUGUAGCUGUUUCCAUUUGAUGGAUGUGGGUAUGCAGGGUUGCUAGAGUAGCCAGGCAUGGGCAUUGGUGGAACAUAAACAGGAGAGAUGAACUGCCGAUAUGGCAUGAUAUUUGUGAAAGGUGAGACGUGAACUUGCGGGUACAUUUGAGCCAUUGGAGGCUGCUGUUGCAUUGUGGGCAUUGUUGAUGUAGGAAUGUGGUUGCCUGAAUGGAUGGUUAAGGCCUGAAGUCAUAAGGUAAUGAAAAUUAAUUGACGCCAUACUUACAUAUAAUAUAACUUAGUGACUAAAAAGGAAAGUUUUCUUCAAAGCACAACUGCUUUCCCAAGUGUCAGUCUAUAACGAGAGACAAUUUCCACCGCCACAUGCUACAUAAUUAUGCAGAACGAUACUGACAACUGCUAUUUACCCAUUCACAUCAAUAAAUAAGGAAACUGGGUUUGUGCACAUUUGCAAGCAUGCAAGUUAAUAUGCAAUGAAGAUUUUGAGGACCAUGCUACCUUGCACAUCUAAAAGUAUUGUAGCAGGUAAAUUUACCUCGCGUGGAGAUGGUUGACCCUGUCCUUGUACCGUUUCAUCAAUUGGGGGUCGGAAGUAUGAUAUAUCAUAGCCAGUCUGGGGAUCAUAUGCCUGCUUGCACACAAUCACAUCAGAAUGCUAAAAAAAAAAGGUAUGGAAAAGACCAUGCAAUGAAAACUGCUUUUUUUAAUUAUUUCAAAUAAAAGCUGUCAACACUCUAAAGCAACUUGCUAAGCGUUAAUUUUAAGCUGGCAUAUAACGUUUCAUUAAUCCAAGGAGUGAACUCACCGAAAAGCUUGGUAACUCAGGAUGAUCUUGCUGCUGUUGUGACUCUGAAGGAGCAUAGGAUGGACUGCUGUUUUGAACCAAACCAAUAUCAGCAUAAUUAUCCAAGUCUGGAGGACUUGAUGACUCCUCAGGCAAUUGAUGUUCAGAAGCUAAACCAGCUUCUGGACAAUCAGACUCAGAAUUUCUUGCUUGAUCGUCUAGCAACUCGAUCUGCUUGCCACCAGGUGCAUCUUCACUGGAAGACUCCGGACAAGAUACUGGUAAACUGCCAUCACAUUUACUAUUUCAUGUUUAGCACAAAUUAGAGCACUGAACUUGGCAUAGCAUUUUUCAUGUUAACUAUGUUCAAUCAACUGCUUUUAAUAUGUAAUUUUCUACAGCUUUUUUAACACACUUCUCUUUUCUUUUCUUUUCUUUUUUUGUCCUUUUAAUUUCUACUUGAAAACUCCUAUCUUUACUCUUCCAGUGAUAGGAUACUUGUACUGAUGCUAUUACAUUACUACAUUUACCCUAAUUAUUAUUUAUCAGCAAUAUUUCUGACUUUGUUUGCUUAAAUUUAUUUACUGCAAUAGCGAGUGUUCAGAGCAAAUGACCUUAACACCAUUCACAUUGAUAGACAGUAUGGAACUCAUCUGAAGACUGUUAUAUGGAAACAACAACAUUCCAAAGCUUUCCCAAUUCAGAUAUCUUAAUUUGCAAAACCUCUAGAUGUAAAAGACUGCAAAAUAGAAAACUGACCUGAUGGCAGAUUCCCUGUUUGAUUCUUCUGAAAUUCCUACUGCUUGAAAUCCAGGUGUAGAAUUCCUGGAAGGAUCGAAUUCCACUCCAAAACUACCAAAGGUCAGCUUGCACCUAUCACUCUCAGGGACUCGAAUAUGUUGUGCUAUGAUUACAUUCUGAUUUUCAUGAAUGUUUACUCGUGAAAACUUGUCCUGCAUUUUAGCUGCAUUCAAUUCCAUGCUCUUCGAAUUAUCUGUGGGAGGCGAACUGGAUUUUGUUGGUGUUCCAAUAACUCCAGGGCUAGUAAUACUUGAUUUCUGGCUCGACUUUGGUUUCCACUCUUUAUUAUGCUGUGAAGCUGCACAAAAUUUUUUGGUUAAAUAAGUCCCAUAAAUUUCAGAAAAUAAGCAGAGCAGUCCAGUCAUUGCAAGUUUUCAUUAAUGUUCCUCGUACUUAUAGGUGUACAAACUACAGAAAGAAGCUAAUAACUCAAAACUAAAAUUAAAAAGCUGGAGAAUUUUCAUUCAUUAAAAUUAAUAAUGAAAUAUGAUAGAAUGAGAUUAAGCACAGGGGAAAUUAACAGUUAACAUCAAAACCCUAUUAGGUCAUUUAUAUCAAUUUUCAAGUACGAAGCCCCUUUGCAGCGAAGGAGUAUCACUAAGACACUCCAGAAUCUGGACGACAUUCAAUGCUCAACAAUCUAAACCCUUGAAGAAAUAGCAUCAUUAAAGCCCAGUUGUGAUGUAACACAUGCCGUAAUAAUAGUACUCAUGUUCAUAUAGAAAUCACGCCAUAAUAACAACCAUGAGUAGGAAGAUUAAGGUAAAUAACGAGUGAUUUUCAGAUGUCAAAAAAAAAAACCAGAAAUGGAUGAUUCAAAGCAGAAAAGGUCAUCACAGACUUUUGCUAUCAAAACAGCAGCAAGAACAAUUUAAAGGACAGUUAUCUAAGAAAAGAACUUAUGGAAGAUGUAAAACCUUUUGGAUGACCCACAGUUUGUUGAUGAGGCCUGCUGUUAUACUGGUUGUGCAAGAAUGAUCUGUUAACAGGAACGCUGGGCAUUGAUUCAAUCGCAGCAGUUUGACUGACUUGAUCGGUAUUAGAUAUUGCAGUUAAAGGAUGAAAUGAUUCUGAGAAUGAAUUACUUGAUGACAAAUCUUUGACAGCAUUUUCAGACUGCCGGCGACCACCCACCACCCCAACCUCACGCUUAAUCGCCCCAACAGCACCAGAUGAUCUAGAAUCAGGAGACGGCACAUGCACAGGAUCUGUCGAGGAGGAGUACACCCCAACAACAGAAUUGCUUGAAGCUAGCGAUGCAUCAUGUUGUUGAGAAUUAUUGGGUUUCACCACUUGUGCCCGUGAGGUAGUAGCAUUAGAAACUGUAGAUCGCUUUUCCUCUGAUACCACUUUCCUAUCACCAACCCUUGACUUAGCAUCUCUGUUGUAUCUAGGUUCAGGAUCAGCAGGCCCAUAAGAAGUUUGAGAUGAACUUUGUGCAUUAGAAGGCUUUAAGUUGUUGUUUGACAUUCCUGUUGAACUGUUAAAAGAAAAAUAUGGAUCUUGUUCAAUUCCUUAAAAAUAGUCAAUUGGAUUUUCAACUGAAAGUAAAUAAUGAUUCAAUAGCAUAGUACAUAGGAACGAUCACUUGUAUGAUGCAAAGCAAAACCACAGUGGAAUUCCUUCAUUGCUUCUUUUUUCAGUAAAAGUUAAUAUUCAACUCUUUAAUAAUAGUCACCAGGUUCCCUUUUGUUUUCUACUGUGCCUUCUAAGUUAUAGCCCUAGUAACCAAAGAUUUUCUCAAAAUAAUAACUUUCAAGGUGGAAACUAAAUGGAGAAAGAAUAUCUCAUUAAAAGGAUACCCAAAAAUCCUCUAUUCUCUCAAUUUCUUUUUUCCUUUCCACAAUAUCUCAUUGAAAGUCCUAUUUACCCAGGCUCUGUUAAGUUUGCAAAAGAAAUACCCCAGUGGAAAUUAAGGGUUUCUUCAUUAUCUACAAUGCACUGUUUAAAACCAGAAUAAUUGUCAAUUGAACCUAGGCACCAAGAACAGGUACAGGCUUUACAUGAAAAUAAAAUUAGCCUAUCAGCUCAAAUUUGAAAAAAAUAAAAUAAAAUAAAACCCCUCAGUUUUGUCUAGGAAAAAAACGUGGACAGAGAGGGGGCAAAGGAGUGAGGUGAGAGAAAGUAAAGGAACUGAACAAAAGAGAGAAUAUUUUCCCAAGGAAACAAAAACAGAGAAUUUAUCUUUUUCUCACCUAAUUAACUGAAGAGGUCUGCACUGUAGGUGCUCAAGGGCCACCUCAUGUAAGCCUACGUAAAAGCACCUACCCUAGAAGCUUAGAAACACAUUGACUUUGAGGCUUUUUAGCACUAUUCCUUAUCAGCUAAGGUUGUGGGUUGGGAAACCUAGUAAUUUGGCAUGAUUGCAUGUAUGCUUUCAGGUUGGUGAAAAUACACAUAAUAUAACAGUAACACUAACUGCAUUAACAGAACCCUGCAUGCUCGGAUGACACCCAAUGCUUUUAGAGCUUGUUGCCUUUCUUUUUCCAAAAAAUACAAGUAAAAUUUAACAUUUAUCCUAGUUAUGUAGCAGCUACUUAUUUUAACCGUAAAAGUGAAACUUAUAAGCUAUAACUAAGUUCACAAUGUCACUUCAUGACCAUUGCUAGUAGAAUGGAAGCUCUCAAGCUGAGGACUGUGGUUUACCAAGGUCAUGAUCAUAUCAAAUCUGUCUUAGUUCAGAAGCUUGAAUGUUUAUGUGAAAAUAUAAACAAAAUGAUUUUGCACCAGCAAAGAUUGCUAGCAUUUGUGAAAAUAAUUACCAGACUAGCAUUUUGGACUUGGGCAUAAUAGGGCCACCAAGAACAACAGCAAGGGUAAGGAGAUGAAAACAAACAGAAAAACAAUGGCAUUCAAAGUUUGUGAAAGAACCUGAAAAGGCAUACCCUUUUUCUGUAAGAAAUCCACUGCCUUUCUCCUUUGCUGAUGUUGAACCUUGUGGCAAAGCAGGCUUUGGUUCUCUAUUUGCAUUUUGAUUAACUCUGUUGUCUCUCACGACACGGAAUUCUCUGUUGACUCCUCUAUUACCAAUCGAAUCAGUUCGUGUAUGGCCUCCUCGUCGAGCAUAGCGAUCCAAAAAUGUACGGGGUCUCAUCCCUUGACCAAAAUUCUCAGGUUGUUUUCUUGAAUCCACAGAACCCCUGUAACUCAUACUCUGAGGCCACAAGCAUGUAAACUCGUGAGUAAAAUGUUAGAUCGGUGCAAGCAUUGACACGUAAAUUAAUGCAAUAACAGUUAAAAACACUUAAACUUCAAUUUGAAACAGGAUUGUAUACCUUUUAAUCAAAGACCUUAAUCCAUGUAAAUUAUGUUCAAUCUUAGCAGCUGUUCACCCGAAUGUAUUUAAGAAUUUUUGACAGAAGAAAAAUUAAUUAAUUGUGAUGCAAGAGACCAUAGAUACGAGAAUUAUGAGAGCACAUUCUCCGAACAACAAAACUCACGAUAUGACAUAUCAAAACAAAAGAGACUUCAACUCCCUCUGAAUGUUUGAAAUUGCAAAUUGAAUUGGAUAUAAGAUUUCCUUGAAUCCUGUAUUGCAUAAUUAAUUAAGAGGUACUAGAGACAAAUUCCUUAAAUGUGAACAGUUGCAAAUUCUUAAAUGGCAUGGUCUAAUAAGUUCAUAUUGGACUAAUUGAACAUAAUAAUAAAGCAGAAAAUUUCAAUCUGAAAACACAGAAAAUAAUGCAAUGUCAGAUGUUAAUUCCAAAACUCUAAUGAAUUUAUAGAAUCAAAUGUCUAGCAAUCAAUGAUGAUGGAAAUUAUGUGAGAAGAAUUUAACAGAUCAGCACUUUCCAAAUGCUAAGCAUAAAGCAUAUUGUGUGACUCCACUACAAUAAGUAAAAAUUCACAAAUGAGAUCACAUUAGCAAUAGCAUAAAUAUCAAUUGGGAAAAAUGAUCAAGACAACAGGACAGCAUUCAAUUAGGAAAGAUCACAAAAUCAUACCUCUUUCUUCUUAUCUCUUUUUCUCUUCACCUCAUGAAACGGAUCUGAUAAGAAAAUCAAAUAAAAUUCACUUGAAUAAGAGGGUUAUACAACUAACACAUCAAAAUUAAAUACUUUCAAAAAUGACCAAACCAAAAAGGUAGCCAACAUAAGUCAGACAAGGAAAAAUCACAGCACACAAAGAUACCAUCUGAUAGGACUAAUAAGAAGGUUCAAGAAACACAGAUUUGUAUUUCCAACAAGCUAAGAUGUUUUCUGAAAGAAGUCAUGGGUAGUUACAGCCAUCUUCCUAACCUCCCUAAAACUCAAGCGAUAUCCACACACAUCAUUGAAGAGCAUCAGCUUAAUAACCAACCAACUCACCUAACUUCCAUGACAGGGACCAUAAGCAAAUGAACAUGGCUCAGUGAUGAUGCACCACAGACCAAGCAUGAUGAACUAUAAUGAACCUUUGAGCAGUCUACAUUAAAGUAACUGAAAAUAUGGAUGGCGGAUAAUCAAUGACACUCAAGACGGACAUAUUUCAUCCAAUGCUUUGACAAAAGUAUGAACUAAACAUGCCAAUCACAUUAAAAUCAUGUUCCAGAAAAUGCACAUCAAUAGAACUAUAAUUUUGGCAUUCUCACACUGACAGCAUUCUCACAUCAUAGAACAAUCUGCUGAUGACUUCUACUACAUAUAACAAUUAUCAUUAACCUCCAAAUCAAUAUUAUAAGAAAACAAUUUUACUUCAAUAACAUAUGCAUAAUCUAAUAACCAUUACCUCUUACCUCGCCCUUUUACUCUUGCCAAACAAAGAAAAAUUAUAUACCUCGGAUGGUCUUUUCACCCCCUUCUAUAAUUCCCCUCCAUUCCUUUCCACUCUAAAACCCCAAACACACCUUCAAAAUUUACUCUUCACCCCAAGUACAACGCAAUUCCAAUGGACCAAGAUAACAAGAAGAAAAAAAACUUUUGAGAGGUCAUUAGUUUUUCAAGUCCUAGCACAUUGACAACUGCACACUCACUUCUAUAAUAAAACAUCAACAGAAAGCACCUAAUACCCACUGCUCAAAACACAUCACAAACACCAAAGCACACAAAAACGCAGCAAAACUAAACAUAACGUCGUGACAGUGAAAAACCCAAUAGAGGCCAUCAAUUUCAACUUCCAGACUGGAAAACAACACAGAACAAAAAAAGGCCCAUUACUUAUAAAACAAGCCAAAAACGCCAGAACCAAAGCCAAAAAGAAUUAACUUGUAUUUAAAAAUAAAACCCUUAGAACCUGGAAAAUAAAAACAUCAUUCUUCAGCAUAUGCCCGUUAUUUUCCAACUUGCAAAGUCUAAAUACUUCUCACAGGAAACACGCACGCACAACAACCAUCAGUCAACACAGCAAAAAAUGAAUAAAUAAAAAAAACGCAGACCUUGACUGAGCAGUUUUUGAACGGUCUCAUUAGGAUCCAUGUUGGUCUCUUUAAGGACCAUAUAAAUAUCAGCAUCAGAGAAAUUUCCCACAAUCUCUUUAAUCGAUUGUAUAAUUUUCCUCACUCUCGCUGACAGUGUAUGCUGCUGCUGUCGUCCACUACCAGCACUACCACCACCAGUAACGGCAGAAGUAGCAUCAGUUGUAGCAACAAUUUCUCCCAUGUCUCUCGAUAAUCAAAUAAGAAAACUAAAAUAGUAGUAAUCAGAAAUGUUUUGGGUAUAAUAAUAAUAGUAGUAGUAAUAAAGAUAGAGAUAUAGGGAGAGGUUAGGGUUAGGGUUUUGGGGGGUUUUUUAUUAAUUUAUUGAAGGGGAGGGGAAAAGAAAGGGAAACAGAAAGGGGCUUUGGAAGAAGGAAGGGUUGGGCUGGGAGGGUUAUGUUUAUGAGUUUUGAUUUAAUUCGAACGAGGGUUUUUGAAAAUCUCUUGUAUCCAUCUCCCUCUGCUGUCCCUUUCUUGUUAUCCCGGAUUUGCCCCUUUUUUUAACUUUAUUUCCAUGUUUGCUCUUUUGUUUUUCUUUUCUUGAAGUUUUUUUUUUCUUCCUUUUUCUUCAAAUGAAAAGGCUAAUAUGCGUGCUUUCAAUUUUGAUGUCUAAACUUUACUGAUCCUGUCAAUUCGGUACAUCAUUGUUUUUUUCUUCUUUUUUAACCAAAUUCCAUAUUGUUUAGAAUUCAACAACGUGAUUUUGGAUGCUCACCAGAUAACUGUUUCGCAUUUGUCUAUCACUAGCUUUUAAACCCGACAGGUGAUUAACUCCACUCAAGAUCCAAAUUAUAAAUUUUGUUCGGUCACUAGAUUUUAAGCAGGUCAACUAUAAUUUUUUUAUAAAUCAAAACGAUGUUGUUUUGGUUAAAAAAAAAUAUAUAGUCAAUAGAUCAUAGCCAAGUUUUUUACUAGAUCUUGUCGGGUCAACUAGGUCAUCGGGUCACCCGGGUUUUUGACUUCCCUUAUUUUUUUCUUAAACUUGAGCUGGGUUUUAAAAUUAUGGUCUAUUAUGCGCGGUGCGGAUUAACUUCUUUGUAUUGUUGUUAACUAGCCAACUCACACGCGCUUUAUUACGGGUCAGGUUUGAUGUGAUCUAAAAAAUUCUAAGUGAUUUAGGAGUAAGGUUUAUGUAUUGGAUAAUCGGUUAAUCUUUUGGUUCUAGCAAUCUGAUCAAUUCUCUCUGGCCAAGGUGAUUGAUAGCUUAUACAUAGUGCCUAGUAGCUAAUACCUACAAAAAAAAAAUUAGAUUUGAUGGCUCUCGUAUGCAUAAGUAAAUAUCUUUUUAAUAAUAUCAAUGAGUAAUAAAUAUUUCCUUACACACCAUUAAUGAGAGAUAAAUAUCUCUUACACAUCAUUAAUAUUGAUGGAGCAAUGGUAGGUUUUUAGAAGAUUUUUAUACAUCUAAGGGUUUUUGAGAGAUGACCUUAAAAUUUUAUGUUAAAGAUUACAAGAAUAAACAAAUGAAAUCAUGUGGCCAAAUAUGGGACCUAGAAAGAUUGUUAGUUUUAUAUCUAGUUGGGUUUGGCAUGAUGUUGAGCCUAGAGAUGUUGAGUCUGACAUCUUGUCAAACCCAUGUGUUCUUAGCAUUGAACCUAAUAAAGGUAGGUAUGACAGCUCACCAGACAUGUAUAUAUUUGGGCUCAAACAUGUGGGUUUGGUGAACUGCUAGACUUGACAGUUUAACGAAAAAAAUAUAUGGGCAUUGUUAAUGUAUUCUCCCACAUAAAAAAAAAAUAUUGAACUAAAAUGUUAAUACUUAGUAACCCCUAAGUCUUAUGUAUUAAAUACCUAAAGAUUUGGAAGGCUAUUAGCUUCAAUGAAAGUCUUUUUACAUUAGAAUUGUAUGUCCCAUUAAUGAGAGAUUUUUUUACAUUUCUCGUGAGAUUUAUUUCUCCCCUGUAGAAUUGUUGGGAUUCAUUGUAGUCAGGUGGUUUGUCCUUAUUAAAAGAGGUGUUAUUUGGAAAACAAAAUGGUGACGUGUAUUCAUUGUAAUAUUUAAGUAGAUUUUUAGAGAUCUCAGAUGACAUGAAAGGUCAUUCAUCUAAUACUGAGGGUGAAAAGUUAUUUCCUUUAUAAUCCUAGUCAUUCUUACUUCCAUCUUUUACUCUCUGUAACUUUUAUAGAAUAGGUUUGUUGAAAAAUCUCUAAGCCUAUUUUGCCUUAAAUUGAGAAGAAAAUGUUUUUCUAGGUAUUUCCCACCAAAAACUUUUUUUCCUUCUUUUUAAACAGUAAAAUGGACCCAAAAAGAAUUCGAUUUAUCCCUAGAAAUAGGGAUAUUGUCGCAGCCUUUGGGUGAGGAGUUCAUGUUCCAACCUGAAACUAGGGAAAAGGAUCCAUCAGACUGGGUCCCAAAACUAAAGGUGAAACCUUAAUUUCUACCUCUAAUAUGGGGAAAGUAGUUCUCUCUGUUAGAGAAGUUCUUUUCUUGUUAUUACUAGGGAACCUCGAGGGAAAGAAAGGUUGCAUCAAGCCCUUAAAGAUGAUGCCCCUAACACAAUGUGUCAUAGCCUUACCCAACUUGUCAAAUAUUGUCUGUUUUGGGCCUUAUUAUCCUCACGGAUUUGUUCUUGAUAACCACUCAUGGCCAUGUCACAACCCCGCCCAACCUGCCAAAUAUUAUCCGCUUUGGGCCUUACCGCCCUCACAGAUUUGUUUUUGGUGGCCACACAUAACUCUAAAACAUGUCUUUCAAGUCAGUAACUAGCACUAUUAAUAAGACUAGCUACCAAAUCCUCACCCGCCGAUGUGGGAUAUUACACAUUGGGUGCAAACAACAUGGCAUUUGUUAAUGGUCAGUAACUAAAAAAGUACAUAGCUUAAAUGUCUACUAGGGCUAAGCGUGUAAGCCAACAAACCUUAGGCUCUAUUUAAGGUUAAUUUGAAAUUAUAACCCCUUUUUUCAUGCAUGCAUUGGGGUAUUCCUUCCCUCUUCAAAGGUUUAUGGGGGAAGUUUUCAGAUAUUACAAAUUGGGACCAGGUCAGCUACACCCUAAUGGACGAAUAAUCUUACUCACCUUUGAUAAGUUUUUUAUGCUUGUCGGAAUUAAGCCUACAAUCAACGCCUUUAUGACUUGUUACCAUCUAUACAUUAGCAUCGAUGGUGGCAAUGACAUGUUUUGUUCUUUACCUUCACCAACAAAACAUGAGCCUUAAAGAUAACCUUGUAAGGAAACAUGCGCUUGUCAAUAAAUAAAAGGGGUGGAUAAUUAUAGGCAUACUAGGCCAAUCAUCCCUAGAGAUGGGAUGCAAUAGAUCUGGGGUUAUUCCUAUUAUUGGAAGGUACCACCCUUGCUAUGAACAGUAGGCCUCGUCUAAACUUGGAUGAGGAGAAAACAUGUGUUGUGUUUACAUUGACCUCAAUCGAGUACGCAUCAAUAGAAUGGUCAAAAGGUAUUAUCAAGCCAUGUUGCAAAGUAUAUAGCUUUAUUUUUCCUUGUUUUUUUAUGCAUUUAAGUUCAUUGUUGACUUUGUUUUUGUGUGGGAUUGACAAUUAAAGAAGAAGGAGAAACUUCAAUAAGGUCUGUAGACGAGAUUUCAAAAAAGGGGUCUUCAUCUCUUGACUUGACUAGAGGCAGGGCUAGAAAAGAUACGGAGGACAACCCCAUCAUUAUAGAUGAACUCUAUGUUUUUAAGGACAUUGUUCAUAAGAAAACAAUGACGAGAUCCAAAACUCCAAUAGAAAAGAAAGGUAAGGUCAAGCAUAUCUGACUUCCUCUUAAGGAAUUGUGGGCAUUGCUGCCUAUUUUAAGAAAAAAAAGGUCUUCAUCCCAAUGGAGACUAGUAUUUCAUCCUCGCCUAUAAAAGGCUUAUAUAAUAACAAUUCAUUUGUCGUCACCCUUAAUCUUGCAUUCAGAGGCAACAACUGUUUGGGCCCUUUACUUGGAAAAUUCUCAAGGAUACUAAACAAAGAUUUGAGGAUGUUUUUGCUAGCCUCGUUCUCAGUCAGACUCCUUUCAGUUUCCCUACCUGGACUGAGAAAGUGAGGCAAGUCAUGAAGGAUGUUGUCAGUUGGAGGUUUGGCCUUGGAGAGGCUGUUGUUAGUGGGAGGUUUGGCCUUAGAAAGGCUAGCCUCGAAGUGGUGAGGAAGCUUAAAAGGAUUCUCAUCAUUGUUUUAAACAUCUUCAUAAUUUCUGAUGAGAACUACAACCAUCAUUUGACCCUUAUAGGACAAAUGACUUUUAAAGAAAGGAACUCCCCUGUUUGAACUUCUUAAUGUGGUUUUAAGAUUAUUGUUCUUAACAAUUUUGUCUUUGACAAACUUUCAUGAUGUGCGUCCACUCUAAGAGAUGUUAGAUGGCUAAAAGGAACCAUGCAAUGGAGGCCAUUGACAAACACAAGGUAGAGAAAUGAACAAGAUGAACGACCAGACUGCCCUCUAAUAACUAAGGGAAGAGAAAGUUAUUGUGGAAGCUGAGCUGACAAGCCUUAAGGUAGCUUAUGACUCGUUGGAGGAGAGUCUCCAAGGUGUUGUCCUUCAGUUGAGCUCCACUUAAAAAUAGCUUUGGGUGGCUUAGAGCAUCUCCAAUGGAGAAGCUAAAUGGAUAGCUAAAACUAAAAAACUAAUAUUUUAGCUUUUCUUUGCUUGUUUUGCACACUCCAAGGGGAAAGUCAAAUAAAAUGCUAAAAUGUCUUUUCUCUUCCAUAAAUAUUAUUCCUACAUAUCUUUCCAAAGAGCCAAAACAAUAAAGUGGAGCCACUAAAAAAAUAAACCAAUUAAAUAUAGCCAUGUGGAAAAAAAAACAUCAAACUUAUUAAAAAAUAAAAAAAUAUUUGUUUCUUCCACUCCAAUAUAAAUGGCUCUUCAAAUGGCUUUUUUCCAUUGGAAUAGAUAUAGUAAAAAAAAUCUAUAUUUAUACUAUUCAAAAUGCUAUUUUAUCAAUUUAGCUUUUCAAAAUAGCAUUUUGCAUUGGAGAUGCUUUUAUAAUGAAUUUGAUGCUAUGAAUAAGGUAUCCUUUAGGCAAAGGUCACUCAAGAUAGUUUGAGGGCUGAGCUCUUUACUACCAAGAAAGAAGUCUGGUGCUCUUGGGUGUAGCUAAAGACUCUGAGGAAUUCUCCUAGAGAGUUCCAAGAAUUUUUUUGGAGGGUUUGCAGCUUUGUCCGAAAUAGUUAGUGACAAACUCUUUCUUGUCAUGUAUACAUUUUCACCACGUUAGAUUGUUACAGCAUUUGUUUUAUUGAUUCGUGAAUGCAAAUAUAAAUCUUACUAUUGCUGGUAAAACCCCAUCGAGCAUGCUUGCUGUCUUUGAGUUUCAUAAUGCAUUUAUAUAUUUGUGAAUUGUCAUGAAAAAAAAUAUACUUUUUCCUCUUCUGAAAGUACACAAGUAUAUGUAAAAGUGGAAAAGAAAACAAGAUUGGUUGUUUUUAUAGAUCAUAAUUUUAAAUAUUGUGUUAUGCCAAAGUGGAUGAAGAAUCCAAUAACAAAACUUGCAUCAAUCACAUUGUUUGUUGAAAAAAGUCAUGUCUAAAUGGGAUUUGUGUUCAUCUUGAUCACGAAGACUGACUUUGAACAUAGACAGUCUAAAUGUUCAGGUCUUAAACUAAUUUAUGCAAAGAUUAAUGGCAGUAUCAGAUACUUCGAGGAGGGGCAUUGGAUACAACGAAGACUCGAUCGGGAAAAUUUUUGUUGGUGGUGCGCAGUACAUAACAAUUCUAGAUGGGAUACCAGCAUAUCCCUUUUUUUUUCAAGAAAUAACCACAGGUCUCCUUUUUCCUUUUCCUUUUAUUUUGUUUUUAAGACAUAUCCCUGAAUUAUUUUCUCGGCAGUGCUGGCUAUGUUGAUGGGGUCACACAGGCUCUCUUGUUUUUCCCAGUCAAGUUGGCUAUGAACUAACAACAUGAAGUUCGGAGGGCAUUUGCCAGCUUGAUUCUGAGAAAGAGCUCGCCGGCCCUUGCUUGUUGGGGUUCCUCUUGAGAUAUUUCGAAUCAUCUUAAUCCUAUUUUCUUCAACAAACAGAUGAUUAUGUUAAAAAACAAAGCUUGUUGUUGAAUGGGUGAAACUUAAUCCUCUAAUAGACACUCACUCCUAUGCAGGAGAAGAAAAUACUCUUGAGAGCUCGGCUACAGAGCAAUUCUUCGACUAGGGAAAUGGGAGAAAGGCCUCUCUUUCCUUAUCAAGGCAGGACGAGCGAAAUGGUAAUCAUAAUUAAAUCAUUUUCGAAAACAAUCAAAGAAAGCGAGAGCCGGAAAGAUUCAAGUUUCUAUAGUUGUUCCGAGUAAUCAAGCAAAACAUUUAACUCAUUGAAAACCAAAUAUGAGAAGCAUAUGCAUAUGACAGACAGGGAGAAGCCAAAAUUUUGUAUAUGUAGUAGACAGGGAGAAGCAAUUAACAUUACCACUGGGGUUAAAUUAUGAACAACGACUCCUAUCUUCAAGAGAGAAUGUUAAAAUGAUUAGACCAUGUUAAAUUAUGAACCAAAUAAAAGAAAAGAAAAACAAUAUACUAUAUGUAGCAUAACCUAAUAGUUCAACAUUAUCCAACCAGAUGAAAAGGAAUAGACAGAAAGAAAAGAAUCAAGAAGUUUUCAAGCAAAACAUGGAACUGGGCGAACAAGCUUUAUCUAUUCAGCCCGCAAGAUCACCUGUGUUAGUUAAAGGUAAUACACAUUUUCCAAGCGCCACCAUCUCAUCUGUUUGUUAAUCUACAAGUAGUGUUCGUGUAUCCUGGCUCAUCUACAAGUACUGUUCGUGUAUCCUCGCUCGGUUCUCCUCCCACCACAACCUCGCACGCGUUUCUCCAAGCGCCACCAUCUCAUCUGUACAGGUACUGUUCGUGUAUCCUGGCUCGGUUCUCCUCCCACCACAACCUUGCACGUGUUUCUCCAAAUUUUUCUCGGCUGCAUCAAGAAUAUAAGAUAAAAAAACACAUCCAUUACACAUGAUUGUGAUCAUUAAUUUAAGCAAAAAGUAAAUAUCAAUGCCUAUGUUGUUGUUUUGUAUAUGGGUAAUGGAAAAUUGGAAAAAGAGAACCCACAUCAUUGAAAAUUGGAAAUAUACAACCCUGCCCAUUUAACAGUAUGUUAUCAGUCAAAACAGUUUCAUCACAAAUCUCAAGCCCAAAAUUCGCCUUGGUUUCUAGAUCAUCCAUGAGAAAUAGUUAUGGCUCCAUGGCAAUUCUUUGCAGGCAACUAAGAUUAUCUAGACCACUAUGAUAGAUGGCACGAGCUUAUGGUGCAAGAAGGAUUUGGCUCGUUCCUUGACUGGAACUGAGAGGUUCAAACUAUAUUUUAUAGGUCCAAAAAUCUUCUAAAAUCUAAUUAUAAGCCCCAUCUACCGUGAAUUGCCAUGUUUAGCUGUUGUUCUAGCCCAGCAAAAGCAGGUGCUAGACAAGUCAGCUCCGUCAGCAAACAUCUCGAGCAGUUUAUUUGUCCAAAUAACUAAAAUCAUGAGCAGUUUCAAUUCCAUCUAUCUCUAAAUUAUUCAGACCCACUGACCUGAACCUGACACGUCUAAGCUCCCUGGUGCCACCUGGCAGUGCUCUGAUAGUGAUGUAUACCCCUGGUUCAUCCUGUUCAACCCAUUCAGUCUCCAUAUCACUUGCAUUACUGAUGGAAAGUUCUUCUGAGCGAUCUGACUCUCUUGACAUACUAGUCCUCGCAGAACCAUCUACUGAUGAUGUCUCCGUUUUAGCCCCAGCCAUGCUAGAGAGCUUUGGUGUUGAAGCAAGACCAGCUGACUCAUAAUAUUGGUGAGAUUGCAUUGGGUGGUGGUCAAGUGAAUCUGAUGACGAAUAAACCAUUCCGGUUGGAUGGUGGAAAUUGCUUGGGCGUUCUUUGCCCAGUGGAGGAGUCGUGGGACUGUCUUUGGCUGAUUCAGGCUUUGAGCUCUGCAAAAGGAGACGGGUAAAAUUAAACAAUAAAACUAGCUCCAUUAUCAAUGCCAGUUUUGUGAAGUACAAUGAAGUAACUCUGAGCUCUAAAAAACACCGACAUCCUGUAUUACAUUAAAUCAUUCAAAAUCUAAAAGAGAAUUAAGGACUUUAACAGUGCUCUUCAACAGUCUAACAAGAUUCAUGCUGAUUACAAUAGAGAAGAAAAUGAUUCAUUCCAAGCAAGUCAGAUCAAGCAUUUCCUAUAACCAAAUGUUGCUAAACUUCAAAAUUUAAUUCACACUCACCUCAUCUUCAGAUCUUGGUGGAGUUGGAAGUGGGACUGAUUGGUGAUUGAACUGUCGAACAUUGUAUAAUUCCAGGACCUUGUCAUAGUUCUCAGCCCACCAUCUUUGAGCUUGCCAUUUAUUGAACAUUUCACGACUGAUCAAAACAUCAUAAUGUUAAAAUGAUGAAAAAGGACCUGUCAACAUCUAUAAAACCUAAGCAAAAUGUUGGAGAAGGACGAAUCAUCCAGUUUUUUCUGGUAUUAAAACUUUAAGGCAGUUGGUUAUUGAUGGUUACUCAACUAAAAGAUUCGCACUGCUAUCAUAUGAGGGAAGCUAGUUUAUCAUGAUAGCAAGACACGCAACCAUUGAAGGAAAGGCUUGACGGAGGAAGGGAAAUGCAGUAACAUCAUAUAUCAUUACUUAUACAGAAAACAACAACAACAAAAAUCAUGAACAAUUGAGAACAUCACAAACAUGAAAUGUUGCAUAACUCUAAUCAGGUUGGCAUGAAACAUGAAUCUUGUUGUAGGUGAACAAAACUGUAUAUGUUAAGAAACCCAAUUAAAGAAAAACCAAGGAAAAAAAAAACAACAUAAAAGUAGCAUCGCUUUCGUUACAAGAAACAGAUGGGUUAUUACUCAUUUCAUUCAACAUUUCAAAUUACAAGUAAACUAGUGUAAAUUCAGAUUGAGAUUAAGUGAGACAAUUUCUGGCACAAACACGCUGCAGCGGCUCUUUAUUUUAUAAAUAAGUAGUUUGGCCACAGAUUUCUCAGCAAAGCAUUCUCAAGAUCAAGAACUGCACAAGCCAGGUUCAUGAAACAUGAAAAUACUUGUAAGCGCCAAGGUAUAUUAUACAGCUGUAAUUUGCACGUGCAUGAAUAACAUUGUAUUUGUCUAUAUGUAACAAUGACAAUAUGCUAAUUUGACAUUCAAUGAUCAUAAGAGGAUUAGAAAAGGUUCUUAUUGUGUUUCAAUUGCCAAAGAAAUUAUAGCUUAAGUAGAGAACCAACCAAAAAGAGUGAAAGAAAUGAAAUAUUUCUUUCUUUAGUGGGAAAUUUUGCUUAUUCAAGCCUCAUAGAGCUGUAAGCAAUAUUCCUCAUCAAUUCUUUGCAAAAAGUACGAUCUCAUUUUCCCUUUUCUUUUCUAUCUUUUCAUUUCUCGUUGGCGAGAUAGGAGAUGAUGAAUGAUUCCAAGUGCAGAUAGUGAAGCACAAGCUGUUCUUGAUUCCAAAAGAGAAUAAGAAGAAGCGGGCAAGCAAAGUAUAAUGCAUCUACCGUGUAAUUGUGUUGUAGAUGGUUAUUUUCUUUAGGCAAUGCAAAUAGUACCUGAAUCGAAUUCGCUUCAGAUCAUUACCGCCAUCAGCCAAUGAAACAAAAGUGAUGAGCACACCAGGCUCAACUUGCGCAACCCACUCCUUAGGCUCAUCUUCCUCCAUAAAAACCACCGACUCCGUCCGCCCACUAACUGAAGCAGGUGUGCCUUCGCCACUCGAUAGCCCUUUUAGUCUUGCCUCCGAAUCUUUCCCCCACUUUCUCGGGGUCGAAUUGGAACUUCCUGCUCUACGAUACAAGCAGUGGAACCUCGCUGAGUCUGAGGCAGCAUCAGACUCAGCAAAGUUCCUGUUAUUGUUAUUGCUCGAGGAUCCUGAACAUGGCUUGCAGUUUCUAUAUGCUCCUGAGGCCUUUACAGCCAUGUCCUUUAUCUACAACAAUAACAAAAACAACCCUUUAUCACUUUGCAAUAAAACAGAGACAGAAAAACACUAACACGGGCUUUGUUAGGAGGGAUUGAGUGUAUUUUUCUUUUGACAAGAAAUAUAAGGAUUUAAGGAAGGAUUGGAUGGAUCCUUUUACUUUCAUUUGUUUAUAAUUUUCAAUGCUUUCAAUUUGGAUAGAUUGACUCUUACUCUUCCCCUUCUUUGUUAACUGAACAACUAGAGGAAUGGUAAACAAUCCAUCCUUUCUCUUCCCUUCCCCUUCUCCCAAUCCAUCCUCCCUGACAAACAGACCCAAUUCCCGUUCAAUUCUAUUCAUCCACCUUCUGUCCCAAAAAUCUAGAAAAAUGAAUUCAAGAAAAGCCAUAUUGGUGCUCAUGGUUCCGAUCUUGAUUCAAUCACGCACUACAACUUUUUUUUUUUCAAAAGCAAAUUUGAAAGAAGUACUGCUGUGACAUACGGCAGUAAUAUCAGACCCACAUCACACAGUAACUAAUUCCAGUUCUUCUUUCACCGUUUUGGUUUCAGCUCAAGCAGUCUCCAAGGGCCCGGUCGAAAACCUAGGCCCGAGUAGAACGAAAAGAAAAGAUCGGAGUCGUUCACAGGAAAAGCGAAGACCGAAAAUGCCUACUCCCCUGGUAGGGCUAUUCAAAGCAAUCCACCCCAGGCAAGGAUAAAGACAGCUGAACAAGACCAUGCGGAUAAGAGAAGAGUUGUGUGAUUAGAUUUUCACUUGAUCUGGAAGAUCACCUAAUAGACUGGCCUUACUUACUCUCCCCAGGAAGAGAAGGGAAUCCAGGGGAAGUCGAAAGAGAACUUACAGGCUUUCCUCAAAGCUCACAGCUAGUCCUCCUUAUUUAAUAUAAUUCCCAAGCAGGCGGAGGUAAGGAAUAACAAGGUCAACCUAAGCUUAGUCGAAUUAUUACCCUCCUCCAAAGGACAGGGAAAGAAGAAAUAAAGGCAAAGAAAAUUUUGGGUUCUGCAGAAACUAGACAAAAACUAAAAAACAAAAGAACAAUCAUUAGUUUUUUUUUUUUUUUUUGUAUUUUCACUCAACCUAUAAAUUAAAAGUCGAAAAAGAAAAUGAAACAUGACCCCUCAAAUCCAUCUUGUUAAAACAAGAAGUAUAAUUCAGCUUUUUCCUUACUAUAUGCUUCGGUGCUUUCUGGGCUUUAGCUCCAAAAAAAAUGAAAAUAAAAUUUAAAUCCUUGACUCUACUACAGCAACCCAAGAGAAGAUAGAAAGGAGAAUGAAACAGAGCAUGCAUACUUGAGCUGUGAGUGCCUUCAUGGCGUGCUUAGUCUUAAGCGUCUCAAAAGCAGCAACAUCAACAUCCUCUUCUCUGUCUCUCGGCGGCGAAUAUCUGUUGUUUAGUCGCUUUGAACACGCAAUACAAGUCAACAUCCUCUCCCGGUUUCUCUAUACCUACAGCCCAAUAACACAGAUCAGAGGCGCUUGUGCAUAAGAAAACAAAACGAGCUACAUAUUCCAUCCAUAAUCAAUGCUUACAAGGAGAAAAGGGAGAGUUUGAGUUGCAGAUGGGGUUCGGUCUAUUUGAGAUCCCACGGAUUGUCGUAAUGGGUCUAUUUAAUUGGCAACAUAAAUGUCAGGAAAGAGAGAGGACAAGUGACCGUUAAUGGAGGAAUGAGAGGGUGGCUUUGAAGCUAUUCGUUAAAAAUCAUUAUAAUAAAUAUAAAGAUAAAAGGGGCUCCUUUCUUUAAAAAUACUUACUCCUCACAGCACUACACUGCCAGUUAGAAUGAGUAACAGCUAAGAAAUACCAAGACAAAGAGAGAAAGAAAGAAAAAACAACACCCUCUCUCUCUCCCCGGCCAAAAAGCAUAUUCUCUUCUCUUGAACGUGCAAGUGGGUAAUCCGAGGAGCUGAGAGUUGAAAAGGUAAAAAAUGAAACUAUUGUUUUGAUUCCGGGAGGCUUUAGACGAGGUCAGGGAAUCAGUGUGUUGGAGACGCAAGGGGAGGCUGCGUGUGUGAGUGGACGCGUCCGUGGGUGAGCGGCGCGAGCUUUUGUUUUUGUGUGUUAUAUUCGUUUGGGUUUUUGGAUGUUUCGUUUCUUUUUCUUUUUUACCGCUUGUAAAGAGCUGUGUAGCUAUUAAUUUUAAAAAAGGUUGUUAUUUAAAAGUAUUUUAAAAUAAUUUUUUUAUUAUUAUUAACAUCAAAAUGAUUUAAAAUUAUUUAAAAUAAAAAAUUUAAAUUUUUUUAAAAAUACUUUUAAAAUAUAAAUAUAUUAGUUUGUUUAGGUUUGUGACACCUAAAAAGAAGAACAAUAUUUCAUGAAAAUUUUAAAAAAGAUUAUUUAAAAUUAAUUUUUUUAUGUUUUUCGAAUUAUUUUAAUUUUAAAUAUUGAGAUUAAAAAUAAUUUUAAAAAAAUAAAAAAAAUUAAUAUAUUUUUUAAAAAAUAAUUAUAGCAUACUUUAAUUGUAAAUACCCCUCAAAAAUAAAAGUAAAGAAAAAGACACUCUAUGCCUCUCAUCUAUUUUAGUAGUACUUUGGUUAUUCUACUUUAUCCUUAUUUUAAUGAUUGCUACUCAUCUUUUCUAUUUUUCAGCUUUUGUCUGUUUAGCUUCCGAUCUUCACUUUCAAGGCUACCACGGGCACGGUAGAUUAAAGUUAUACCGUGUUUAGCAUCGUGUUCACCCCUUUGUGAAGAUUUUAUUUUUUUAUUUUAAAUUAAUUAUUUUUAUGUUUUAAAAUUAUUUUAAUAUAUUAAUAUAAAACAUUAAUCUUGUGAUGUAACUCGAGUAAAAAGUCCAAGUAAACCAAGAAAAAAGCCAGGACAAAUCGGACCUGAGACAGGAAUUCCCUGGAGAUUAUUUAUUUUGUUGUAUUAUUAUACAACACUGUCACAGCUUAUAUAAAAAAAAAAAAAUGGACCUCAAACCAUCUAGGUGGUGGCCAUGUGGUAAGAGCUUGGGAUCAAGAGGUUUGUUCUCCAUGUGGUCUCAGGUUCGAGCUCUGGGUUGCUCAUAUGAUGAUCACUGGAAAUUUACAUGAUCGUUAACUUCAGGGCUCGUGGGAUUAAUCAAGGUGCGCACAAGCUGGCCCGAACACCCAUAUUAAACUAAAAAAAAAAAAUAAGCCUCAGCUCAGCUUAAAAUAGUGUACAAGCAUAACCUACAAGCGUAUGUAUACACAUUUAUUAAAUAUUCAAUGACUAAUUUAGAGUAGAUAUUUAAUAUAUUUUUAAAUAAAAAAUAAUUUUAACCACGUUUUUAAACCCUCUUAAAAAAUAGAUGAUGCCCCCAUGAAGGUGGCAAUCAGCGAGGAGUUUUGGGUGGGCACAUUUUCGGAACUGCAUUGAGAGCUCCGGCAGGCUUUUAUCAAAUCAUAAGGUGAAAAGGAGUCUGAAUGAUGACGGCGACGACGGUGAUGAGGAGCCCUCAUGAAAUUCUCAUACGAGGAAAAGCUGCCCUCUGUUUGUUUGCUAACUUCUAUACACUGCUUUAAAUCAGUAAAUCACAUCUGGGUUCUUGCAACAAGUAGAGGUGGUCCAAAGGGAGCAGUUCUAGAACACGUCUUUUGUUCUCAUCUUCUUUGCAAAAAGUACGAUCCAUUGUUUACAAAAAGUGUAAAAUGGGAUUGGAGUCUGCGGAAUCUUUUCCUCCCAACAAGGAUUCAAAUUUAAAGCGCUCGUAUUCUAGCGUUUUUGAUAUUGUAGUGUAAUCUUCUUUUCAAUUAAGUUUUUUAUUUGUUUUUUUAGAUGAAAAGCAGAUUAUAAUACAAAAACACUCAUUUUAAAAAGAUAAAGUGUUGAUUGUGCUUUUUAUUAGCUUAAAUUGUAUUUAGUUGGUGUUUCAGGAUAGAAAAGACAAGAAUUUAUUUGAUGGGAGAAAUAGAAAUGACAUAAAAUAAAUGUAUAUGAGAUAUUUUUUAAGUGAAUUUUUAUAUUUUUAAAAUAAAAAUACAUGGAAACAUGUUUUAUUUAUCCUCCUUGUUUUUAUCUUUUCGGUCCCAAAAUAAUAACCAAAUACUAUUUUAAAAACAUAAAAAUAUCAAAUUUGAAUCUUUUGAUUGAUCCAAGUUUCAUUAGAGUCCAACUAGUUUAAUUUGUUAGGAGUAUAUAAUGUGUGUUUUUUAGCUAUAAAUCAUGCUAUAGAUCACAAUUGUUUAGUUUAUAUAGUAUGUGCUUGCACUUUUCCUGUAGAUCGUUUAGUUUAGAUAAUCAUGCAAUUAUAUCUAAUCAAGUUAAUCUUGCAAUAAAAUAAAACAAUAAACUUAGCAUACAUUCUUGGCAUAUAAAUCAAAAUUUACAUGUAAACUAAUCUCCUAACAUGCAUACUAUCAUUUAUAAUGACAAUUAUAUAAUUAAUCUAAAACCAAAGUAUAACUAUGGCACUUAUUUAUUGGAAAAGCUUAUAAUCAAUGUGGUUUAGUAAUAUGUUGUUAUCAAGAAUCCAUCUUUUAUACUUGAAGUUUUGUUGCAUCUAUCCUAGUGCAAAUAAAUUAUGUUAACAAACCUUUCAUUAUUCUAACAACACUACAUAUUAGGGCUGAGCAUUUCCGGUUCGGUCCGGUUUUGAACCAAAAUAAACAACCAAGCUGAAAUAUUUUUUUUAUUAUUUUUUGAACCGAACCGAACCGAAAACCGGUUCAAACCGAUUAAUUUCGGUUCGGUUCGGUUUUUUUCCCUUCCAAACCGGUUCAAACCGAAAUUAUUCCAACUUGUUCACAGUCCCAAAAAAAUCCCUAAUUCCUACGUCGAUGAAGGCAACUAAAAAUCUUCACUGUUUGGGCAUUUUGAUGCUCCAUGUCCCGACCACCCACAAUUAAAACAAGAGCCUCCAAAUCAAAACUUCUGCUACGCACAAUAAACAAAAGAUAUCAUGUUUGUUGGCUGAAACUUGUAUGAAUAAAUUGUCCAAACCCUCAGCCACACAAGCCAGUAAAAGAUAAGAAACACAAUAGAAAAAAAAAAGGGGUAAUGAAAG